rnacentral:lncRNA from 1 species
UCUUGCCUUAAUCACUAGCUUAUAAGGUUUCUAUUAACCUUGAUCACGCCCGGACCGAUGCCAUUUGCCCGACCCGCGGCACGAUCAAACAGAGCCCGAACGGACAGAGUUUCCCUAUCGCCAAGUAUAAUGUACAUUUUCAAUAAGAGUGCCACUAGCGGAAAAAACAUUUUUACCCAAACGGUUCACGGAGGUAAAGCAAUAGCCAUUAGUGAAAGAAAAAGAAAAACUAACAUUCCUUGUUACUAUGAUUCAUUUUGGAUACGCAUACAUUGCAUUCUCUAGUAAUUUAAGAAUUUCUUACAUUCAUUACAUCAUCUCUUUCUGACAUCAUUUGCUCAAAAUAAGCUUUCAUUCUCUUCUUUACAUUCACUUUAAUUCAAGUACAACAAGAUGAUAAAAGGGUGUCUACUACAAAAUGCUACCAACUUGGUUUGGCCUCUGUCUAAGGCGCGAUACCUUUACUCGUGUCGCUCGCCGGCUCGCUCGGUCCGGCUCUGUGGAAAUAGUGGGGUGAGAAACAACAAGUUCCCAGUGGGGUUCGCCCCCACAUCACGACUUUCCCAGCUGGGACGACUCAGGCACAUAGAAAGGAUUAAGUAGAAAUAUAGUAACCAAUCUAUAACAUGAUGCUAAUGGCUGAACAAAGCAAGGAAUAAUGCUCAACAUUAAAUUAAAUCAGGUUAUGAUGUUCGUUUGAGUUUCUUUGCAGCUUUACAUUUGUUUUUACUCUUUGUCUUUAAUCAUUAAGGGUCUAGCCGCGGUGCGUUUCGCACUUUAACUUGCUUCAAAUUUAGUCAUCAUCGCAGGAACUCGCACGUCAGCUAGGACCGGUCCUUACGGGUUUAACUCCACCCGGCAUGCAUAACAUCCGGAGCGCAUGCGCCCGAGGGGGAGCGACCACCCUUCUGAGCACGGAACUCCAUAGACAAGUAUGAUGAAUCCUUAACUCAAAGGAUUAUAAGUUCAAUUUGCUUUAACACUAGUCUAGUGUUCUUUACAUCCACUUGAUGUGCAAAUCAUGCAAUCACAUUCUUUACAUUUCCUUUACCCUUGCUAACUCUAGCAUUCAAAGUUGUUCUCAUUGCCACUUUACCUUAAACUUCUACUCGUUCUGUCCAUUUUCAUCAUUCUUUACAUCACUUUAGUCUUUACAUCCCUAACUCUGUGUAUUUGCACAUUAGUUUUAUCGAAUGUGACUCGAUCUAUGUCAUUUGUGUCACUCUGUGCUUUUGCUCACGUUUGGGUGCUCACAUUCCUCUCAUGCAUACAUCUAGGGGUUUGACAUAUUGUUCUCACCAUCUCAGUAUGCAAGUUUGAACUAACAUUAUGCAAUCAUACAACUUUUGAUCGUUACUUUCCCUAAAAUGCAUGCAAAAUGUAUAUAACAUAUGCCAAGGAGACACAUUAGCAUAAGAGAAUUUCAAUGAGUUUUGGAAAAGCACGCACCACGUCGUUAGGCGUACAGGUGCUCGAUAAUUUUUUGGGAUUUUUAGAAUCUUCGUUCAUUUACCUGCGGCAAAACGAACCUAUUAGGGCCAUUGCUGGCAUAAUCAUUGUACUUCUGGCUUUUGCGUAAUACGUUAAUCGAGCGCACCAAACGGCGGUCGGACAAUACCCCAAUUUAGGUUUUUGAAGGGUCAAUUUUCAUUUAGAAAUCCACCAUGAGCAAAGGCACCAAUUUGGUGCCCUAAUGCUCCAAUAACACUAUCAAACUUAGGGUUUGAUCUCAUUGGGAAGCAAAGUAGCUUCAUAUUAUAUCAAAUAAUCCAUUGUAGAACCAUUCUUAGGCUUUCCAAAACCCUAGUUUGGAUUGUUAACCCAUUAGAGGGUGGCCCUAAGAAACCUGAGGCUCAACAUGGGAUUUGAUCUCUAAAAGCAACAAAGAAAGCUUCAAAACUGAUAGACAUGUCCUUAAAAACCAUCCUAGGUUCUUCAAACUCACAUUUUAGGUUUUACUACAUUAGGCGUGAAGGCUCCCUACUCAAAGCUUUCUCACCUUUUUUCCCCAUUUAAGGCUAUGAGAUGGAAGGGAAGGAGUUCUUCCUUCUUCUUCUUCUCUCCACUUUCCUUCCUUUCUUUUCCUUUUUUUCUUCUUUCUUCUUCUUCUCUUUUUUUCUUGAGAAGAGAGGCAGAGAAGAAGUGUGAGAGGGGUGAAAAUGAGAGAAAAUUCUCAUUUCACCCGCCAUACUAUACUCAAUGGGCUGCUAAAAUGCAAAUAAACCCUCCUUUUACUUUAUUACACUGCCCGAAUUGGCAGUUGCCGCAGGCAGGAGACCCGGUCUCCCGAGCAGGACGCGGUUCCCGAAGUCGCACGCCUGCGCAGCCAGAGUCCUCCGCAGAGCAGCAGAAUCGCGGGCGCCCGAAUAGGAGCGCGAGCCGGUCUCCCUCCGAUGGGACUCGGUCUCUGGGGACCGGUUCUCUCAGGCAGAGACGCGUUCCCGGAGCCAUCUUCCAGGACUUAGCGAUUUUCGGGGCCGUAUCACUCUCGCACCGUUCGGGGACCGGUCUCUCCUUUCAGGGACCGGUCCCGAGAGCUGAAAAUCUGAUCUUGUACUUGCAGAAUUCAUUCUUUUAGCUCUCGAAACGCCCCGUAACAUCACUUUUAACCUUUUUAACACCUUCAGACUUCGCCGAAGUGUACGCGCCUGACUUUGGUCAUGUUGACUAAUAGUUCGAAUUUUAUCUUUUCGCAAUUUUCGGGUAUAUUAAAACCUAAUCAAGCUAACCACCCGACUCGGCCUCGAGUCAAUCAUCCGCGGAUAGUCCGCGCACUGGCUGCAUCUCAGCCUGGCUGCCGUCACAGCCUACCGCAAAUCUGACUUAACUAUCUGGUGGCGAACUCAUCGCAUUGAACCCAACAACAACUUAAGUCAUGACUUAGCCAUCUGGCGGCGAACUAAUCGCACCUCACCCAACAAUGGUUCAAGAUGUGACUUACUCAUCUGGCAGCGACCACAUCGCUCUUACCCAACAAGGUUCAAGUCAAUCUAGACGGCAUCAUCUGAUAAGCUAAUGGGCGAGGAGAACCACACAUACCAAAUUCCAGCUUAUUCUCAUGGCAUCCCGGGCGAGGAGAACCACACAUACCCGUUGAAUCACUGCCAGGCGAGGAGAACCACACAUACCUGCAGUUAGGAUUCGCUUGCCAUCUCUUUUACCACAAUUUUCACCGCUCCAUGUGCGGCCACAUCACUAGGGAUUCCGGAAUCCAUUUCAUAACUCAAGGGUUGGUUUCAAACCCUAUAGCAUUGACCUAUCUAGGUCCAACGUCCUUUUCACUCUAGGUCCAACUGACUCUAGGUUCAACGUCUCUAUCACAUAACCUAGGUUUACUUAACUCUAGGUUCAAUCCAUAACCUAUGUCCUUUAACACUAGGUUAGAUGCCACUCAUCAUUCAUCCUAGGUUCAACAACACUAGGUUCAUUGUCAUUCAUGUCCAACCUAUGUUUUUAUACACUAGGUUAGAUGCCACUCGAUCUAGUUCACAUGACUCUAGAUUCAUUCACAACCUAUGUUCUUUAACACUAGGUUAAGUGCCACUCGAUCUAUUUGACAUCCUAAUUGUCCAUGUCGAGUUCCAUAACUAUCCACAUUUUAUCUAGCAUGCAUUAUGUGAUGCCAACAUGCAUAAUCUUUCUCACAUGAUCUACAACAUGUUAAUAUGCAUGUAAUCUAGCAUAUUCUCAUCAUGUCAUCAUACAUGUAUUAACAAGCAUAUUUACAUUAUGUCAUUAACAUGCAUUCUUUACCAUAUGCUCACAUGCAUUAUUUAGCAUUUCUAUAAUAUGUUCAUCAUGCAUUCUAUGGUAGUCGUAGCAUAGCAAUUAACAUGCAUUCGCCUAGCAUUUAACUCUUGCAUUCAUCUACCAUUUAUAUGCAUCAAUAUGAAUUUACAUUUCUCUUAGACAUAAAGGGCGACCUAGUCGCUUCGGUAAGCACAACCCACCUUAACUUACUCUCCGAUUGCUUGUAGUCACUUGCAAUCGGCCGCCCGCGACACCCGCGACCCGGUUUGGCUCGAACUCUCGCGCAAUCACCCAAACGAUCUCCGAUUUGCGAUCCGAAAAUUAAAGGUCUUCGGUUAUGUGCCACGGUGCUUCAAAUCCGUUUUCAUGAUUUUACGACGUCGCCUCGGCCCUCCAGGCGGAAACGAAGCCUAAACGUCCGUUUCUUUAAUAACUUUGUAACGGCUCGUCGGAUUGCCGAUCCGUCUUCGCCAACGCGUUUCGUUACCUAGCAAUUAGGUUUAUAUAUGUUCAAUUUAGAUCAAACCCAUCUAUUAGCAAAAAUUGCAUUUUGGAGCCCUAGGUUGCAACUAUGCAAGAAAUCAUCAAAUCCCUUCACGAAUUAAGCAUCAAUCAUCUAGAUAGCAUGCUAGGAUUCCUCUAAAUCCAUUUCUAAGCUAUUUAAACCAACCAUUAAGGAUCUACCAUUAAAGGGUAGCAAAAGCUUACCUCAAAAUUAGCUCCAAAUCAUGGAGAAGAUGAAGAAGACGAAGGCAAUCCACCUCCAAGCUUCAAUCUCCACCAAAUCCAUCCAUUUUGGGAGAGAUUUAGAGAGAGAAAUGGAAGUUCUCUCUCUCCCUUCCAUGCAUGCGUGUGUGUGUGUGUGUCGCAUGCGGUUUGGGGCUGCUGCGGCUGAGGAAGGAGAAGAAGAAAAGGGAUUAAAUCCCUUUUUACCAUUUUGCCCCUCAACUAUACACUAUUCACUACGGGCAGCUUGAAAUCUGAUAAAUUUCGUUGGAGCCCUUCCGGAUGUCCGUUUUCGUUCAAAUUUGACAGACAUGCUCGGUUUUACUUAAUAAGUCCAAAGAAAUUUUAAUAUUUUAGUUUCGACCCCGUUUGGUCACCGAAAACUGUACCGAACUGCAAUCUUUACCAGAUAGCUUUCGGAAUCUAUUUCUCACUCUACGGGUGUCAGAAAAAUAUGAAACUUUAAAUCUAGCCUCGUAAAAAUAUUUCUGACAUCUCCGCCAAUUUUCAUAAUUUUCUGACACUGUGCAUUUUCUGCUAAUUUAUCUGUCCCGUUUCUUACAGAAAAUUCUAAAUCUUUCGUUUUCGCUCCGAUUUCAGCACAGGUCAUUCCCAACUUAUAUUUCACUUCUCUAAAUCCAAUAAAAAUAGUAUCUCAUACUAUUUUUAUUUAUUUUUAUUUUUAUAUUUAAAAUUCGGUAUGUUACAUUCCACCGCAACCUCAUCGGAACCAUUUAAAUAUACACCGUAACUUCAUAGUUUUAUAAGUCCGGUACUUUACAACAACCUCAUUGUCGUGGAAGCCUACCGCCCCAGCAUUGUCUCAAAGCGGCCCCUCCUGGCUUCCUUCCUCCCUCUCCUCGGCUCUCUUGGGGCCUUUACCGGCUCAACUGCCAGUGAGAAGAAAUCCCCCUUCGCGGCGGAGGAGGGCAAGGAAGGAAACGAGGAGGGGCUGCUUUGAGACGAUGUUAGGGCGGUAGGCCUCCAUGGCAAGGAGGCCGUAGAGUACAAUUUUUGUCACACGCCCGCGACCGCCAAUUUGGUCAGUUCGGGCACGUCCACAGAUGCCAAACGGACAAAACCUCCCUGUCCGCCCAAGGCUCAACAACAACGACUAUCAUGUAUAAAGAAUUAGCCCAGGAGUAAUUUCAUUAUACAUGCCUUGAACAAAGGCAAGCAACAAACACAAGUGAAAGUACUAACUAUGCAUACAUUCAGUGUAUCUUGCAAACUUCAAACAAAAUACAAAGAUUGAUACUUCAUUACAUUCAUGUUCCGAAUUAUAUUACAUGUCCAUCAAGUACAUUACAUCAUUUCUUUUACAGUCUAUUUCAUCAAGUACAAAAGAUGAAAUAAAAAUGGUACACAACUAAACUCGAAGGAGACCCACUACCUAGGGCACGAUGCCCUUGCCGCGAUCCUCGACCGCCCCGCUCGCGCUAGAAUCUGCAAGUUAGUGGUGUGAGAACUACUGAAAGUUUCUAGUGGGUUUGGCCGCCGACCUCGCCGACUCACCCACUAGGUCUAUUGAAGCAUAUGUAGAAAGAAAGAACAGAUAAGUAAUCAAACUAAUGCUACUACAAUGCCUAUACAAAACUGAAUAGAGAUAAUAUACUCAUGAUGCAUGCAAUUCCAUUUUACCUUUACCCAAUCCACUUGGUUAACCUUCUGGUUAAACCCAACUCACCAAACCAAAUCCCUUUUGUCGGGAAGAAUACCACUACCACCCGACGGGACCGUCUGUUGGGGAGAAUUCCGCUGCCGCCCCAGUUGAUGACACUCCGGAGUUCACCGCUUGAGGUGGAUCGACUACCCUCAAGCAUUCAAACUACCUGUGAGUACAAUCACAUCCUCACUUAGAGGAUACCAUGCCAUAAUUGCCACAAGUUUAUAUAGUUUUUCCUUGUCUAGCAUUCAUUCUUUUGGUGCUAUUCAUUCCCACUAGUCAUUAUGUCACCUUGUUUUCUAUUGUCAUGGUCCAACACAUGUUCACACAUCCAUAGAGUUCCAUAUCAUGGUCCUUUAUGGUUUCACAUAUUUUCUGUAACACACAGAACUUUAGCAAAUAGCAAGGUUCCAGUGUUAGAAUAGUACCUUGCACUAUUUCUAGUGUUUUUGAAGGUCCUUAACUAAGUACCGGCCUGUUAUUCGUGUUUCGAGAACGCGAGAAAGAGUACUUAGCACCAAAAAUCUGUAAAUUCAGGUUUUAGGGUGCUGAGUACCGGUACCUGGGUGGGGUACCGGAACCCCAUCGCGUGCCAGAGAGUAGCUGCUCUCAGGUUUGGCAAUUUGGGAUAUUGGGUACCGGUACUGGGUGUUGGGUACCGGUACUGGGGUCAUGUCAUGCCCCGCGACCGCCAAUUUUGUCGGUUCGGGUACGUUCACAGACACCGGAUCGACAGUACCUCCCCUGUCCACCCAAGGCUCCACAAAAGUAUUAACAUGCGUAACAAUUUACGCAACGAAAAUUCAGAUAUACAUGGCUUGCACGAGGGUAAGCAACAAUCAAAAGUGAAAGUACUACUACUAUUAUCACCUCCAUACAUGUAUCUUGAUUACAUUUAACCAAAUACAAGCAUACUAUAAUUUACAUCCACUUUUUCCAAAACAUAUGCCAUUUACAUCAUUUAUACACUUCCAUCCCAUUACACUUUUCAUCAUAACCAAAAGAUGAAACAAGGUACCACUAAUAUACGGAUGUCCGCUACCUAGGGCGCUAUGCCCUUGCCGCGAUCCUCAACCGCCUCGCUCGGGCCCGGAUCUGUAAAAUAGUGGGGUGAAAACUACAAGAAGUUCCUAGUGGGUUUGGCCGCCGACCCCGUCGACUUUCCCACUAGGUCUAACUAGGCAUAAGUAGAAAAGAAUAGAUAGAUAGAUAGAUAGUCAUUUCUAAUCAAAUGCAACUAUUAUGCCUGAACAAGAAUGAUAAACCAAUAUAUAUAUGAUACUUAUGAUACAUGCCGAUUACCAUUGUCAAUACCCAAUCAUCUUGGCUAACCCGUAGGUUUAGCCCCAAAACUUACCAACCAAAUCCCUACAAUCGGGGAGAUACUCGCUACGACUUGACGGGACCGUCUUCUAGGAAGAUACUCGCUACGACCCAGUGAUGACCACUCCGGAGCUCAUCGCUCGAGGGGGAGCGACAGCCCUCAAGCAUAAGACUAUAGGUGAGUAUGAUCCAAUCCACAACCAUGAGAAUGUCAUGUCCACUAAUGCCACAACACACAAAGUGUUCCAUUUACUAGCAUUCAAUGCCACAAGGUGCUAUUUCAAUCGUUUGUCACAAUGUCAUCAUGUUUUCUACCUUGGCUAGGUUCAUGUCUCAAUUCAUACAUCUAUAGGGUUCCAUUGUUCCAUUACUAAUUCAUAUGCAUCUUUAUACUAAAAGUAUGUAAGAAGUACCAACAUAUUAUCAUUUAACCCUACAAUACAUGAAUCCUACAUAUGCACAUACAAGCUCAAUGGUGACUUAGACAUAAAGAUAAAUCCAACUGUUUCGGAUAGCACCACCCACAUCGUGAGAUGCUAGGGUGCUAGAAUCCGAGUUUCCCGAUUUAUGAUCGCCGCUUUCCCCCGACCCACGGCAAACGAAGCCGAAACGGGGUUUUUCCUCAAUAUCUCGACAUAGACUUAUCGGAAUUCUAAUCCGAGCCUCCCAACGCGUCAGUUUAUACUCCAAUUAGGGCUAUAAGAGAUCAAACCCAAGUUAGAUCUCAAACUUAGCAAAAACCUAUUUUGAACCUAGGGUUUCCAUAAUCCACAAUUACCCAAUUUUCUUGGAGAUUCAUAGUUUAACGUAGCAUAUCAUCUCCUAGAAACCACAACUAGAAAAGAUUUAGCCAAACCCUAACUCAUAUUCACAUGAACUCACCACAAGUUAAAGCUUCUUCUCCAACUCGCGCAGGAGCAAAGUUUCUUUCUCAAGCAAGCUUCCUUCUCCUCCAAACUCAACAUUUGGAGUAAACCCUAGAGAGAGGAAGAGAGGAAGAGAGAAAGAGAGAGAGAAGAGAGUGUGAGAAGCUCCUAGAGAGAGAAAGAGAGUUUCUUCUCUUUUGUUCUCAAGUGAGGGGAAUGAGGUUUAGGGCACAAGACCCUCAUAUAUGGUCCCUCCCAUGACAAUUGCACUAAGGCCUCUCACAAAAUUACUAUUUUCGACCACCCAACCUUUCUGCGGGUACGGGGUCUGGACCUUGCACUUAGGGUCCGGACCCCGAGAGCAUUUCCAGCACAAAAAGGCUUGGAACUUCCCAACUUGCUCUCCAAGGUCCCAACCACUCAUUUAAUGUAUUCCGAAGCACUCGGAAUGAUUAACGGACCUCACCAUCUAGUCCAACACCACACUUCGGUCAAUUUGACUUAAGUUCGGUACAACCUACCGAAGUUUUCGGUAUAUUACAUUCUCUACCCUUUAAAAAUAGUUUCAUCCGCGAAACUCGAUUCCAUACCUUAGCUCAUCUACUCGAAUAGAUGAGGAUAAGUCUUUCGCAUUGCCUCCUCGAGUUCCCAAGUGGCUUCAUGCUCCACAUGAUUGCUCCGCUGAACUUUCACAUACGGAAUUAUACGAUUCCGCAAUUUCUUCACUUCUCGAGCAAGGAUGCACACCGAAAACUCUUCAUAAGUCAUAUCCUCACGCAACUCCAUCGGUUCAUAUUCCAAAACAUGAGAGGAAUUAUGGGCAUACUUGCAGAGAUUAGACACAUGAAACACGUUGUGAACUCUCGCAAGCUUCAGUGGUAAAGCAACUCUAUAUGCCACUGUAGUAAAGCAACUCUACAUGCCACCGCACCUACGCGCUCCAGAACCUCAUAUGGUCCAAUGUAUCGGGGACUAAGCUUCCCUCGAACCCCAAACCGCUUCACACAAUGCAUAGGCGAUACCUUUAAGAAAACGCUGUCUCCAACCUCGAACUCAAGAUCUUUCCGGCGCUUAUUCGCAUAACUCCGCUGUCAAGUUUGUGCCGUUGCAAGCCGUUGGCGGGCAAGGCGAACUUUCUCUCUCGCUUCUCGCAACACAUCCGGACCAAGGGUAACUCUUUCACCCACCUCGCUCCAAUGAAUAGGGGAGCGACACUUCCUUCCAUAGAGAGCCUCGAAUGGCGCCAUCGCAAUAUUUUCUUGAUAGCUAUUAUUAUAUGCGAACUCCGCCAUCGGCAAAUAAUCGUGCCAUCCACCCUUGUAAUCAAGUACACACGCCCAAAGCAUGUCCUGAAGGAUUUGUAUCGUUCUCUCCGAUCGCUUUUAGGAUGAAAUGUCAUGCUAAAAUCUAGCCGUGUGUCCGAAGCCUCUUGCAAACUCUUCCAAAAGUGGGAGGUGAACCGGGGGUCUCGAUCCGAUACUAUGGACGUCGGAAUCCCAUACAGUCUCACAACCUCAUCAAGAUAUACCUGCACCAACUUGUCCCCGGACCAAGUGGUAUGGAUCGGCAAGAAAUGACCAAGUAGUACGGAUCGUCAUUGCAUUGUGGCUUUCUUAAUUCAUGCCAUAACCCUUUCAUGCACAACACAUUAUGCCCAAUCCAUGGUUCUAUCACAAGGUUCACAUUCAAUAUCACAAUGACAACCAACGUAUCAUUUAAUUCAAUGUCCACAAUAAUUUCUAUGUCCAAUCCACUAGUUUGUUCUCUACUAGUUCAAUAUGUCACUAGGGUUCUGUUAGAUGUAUGCCCUAGAAGCGAACCAGGCCGAUACAUAUAUUCUUUUUAGGACAUAAAUUUGUAUUUGACUUUUAAAUAUUAUAAAUAACUUUGGAUUUUUAUUUCCAUUCAUGUUGUGUAUGUGUCCAUGAAUCGUCCAAGGAAUAAUAAGAUGACGACAUAUAUUCUCAAGUGUUGAGAAUUUGAGACAUGUGUCAUUGGUGAUUAAUUCCUAAAUGCUCCCGAUCAAUGGAUCAUCACGGGGACGGUGAUUGAUCCGAUGAGAUUGGUGCAUAAGUCGGUUCCCUUCUGGGUAGACGAGUCUCGAGUCGACAGUGUGGGGACAUUGAAGCGAAUAUGCAGGUAGUUGUUAGAGAACAAGGGUACCGAGCGUGACCAACGCGAGAAGUCACUUGGAUGUCUACUCACUCGUCAGUGACUUACUCAAUUGUUGCAGUAGUGUGACUGGUCCUUUGACCUGCGGUGCCUCGGCUAUUCACAAUGAGGUUACUAUAGUUUGACUGUACAUACACUUGGUCCCUAGCCAUUCGGGUCCUUGCAGUGCAUGUUGGCUGCAGUAGGUUUACUGUAGGAAUAGGGUGCGCACUUAGAUGAAAUCUAUCUCCCUUGGUAGAUAGGGGUGUUAGUUCUAUGUGAUUUAUAAGACCGAGUUUAGAAGACCUUGGCCAGGGCAGAGUUAAUAGCGAAAAAGGAUUUCCAAUAGUAGAAACUCGAGUCGAAUAAAUUUAACAUAUGACAGACGAUGGGGUUUGACGAGUUAUUCCAUAACCUCCGUCUAGUCGGGACUCAUGAUAGAAGGAUUGUAUCACACGGUAACUGCACCAAGAGGUUAAGUAUUCCAUUCUACUGGAAUGCCACUAUAUGCUGCUAGGCGUCACUGGUGGAUUGUGAGACUCAUGAGAAUUAUCUAGAUGAUCGAUAAUUCUCAUUGGGCUGAGUUGGAAUUAUUUUGAUCCACUGAAAAGAGUUUCAGUGAUAUUGUUGAUAGUGAUCAAAAUAUAUCUCACUACCAUAUAGAAUAGAACCUAUGGGGUCACACACAUAAGAGGUUGUGAUUGAUCGGAUAGCUAGAUUGCGAUUAUUGAAUCGCCGGAGGACCUAAUUGUCAAUAUGUUGAUAAUUGGACUAAUUUGUAAUUAUUACAAAUUAGUGGUAUUAAAGUGUAAAUGUUACUAGAGAGGACUUACUAUGUAACAUAUCACGUCCCUCGUAAAUCGUGCCGAGUUCCGUCGAAAUGAGCGGAACGCGGAGUGGAACGAGUUGGUAUAGACCCUAAGUGCAUUGGAGCCUAUAUAUAGUGCAAAGGGACACGAGAGAGAGAAGUUUCAAAAUCUGGCUAAGUCCCAAAUUUUGUGCUCUCGGGGACCGGUCCCUGAAGGAGAGACCGGUCUCCAUACGCGUAGCAGUGAGACCGGUCCUCGGGAGACCGGUCCCUGAAGGAGUGACCGGUCCCUCGCUGCGCAGCCAGCCAAAAAAUCUGAAAAUUUGGCUAAGUCCUGGAAACCCAACGUUGGGGAACCGGUCCUUGGUCGGGGAGAUCGGUCCCCGAGAGCGAAAGUUGCCCAGUCUGGGCUGAAACAGAAUUUUGAAGUUGAGGGACCUAAGUGCAAUUGUCACAACACCUUAUAUGGCCCAACCCCUCUCUCCCACAGCCAUUUCUCACCUCUCCCUCAUUUUCUCUCUUUCUCUCUCUAGAACCUUAGCUCUAGAGCUUGGAGAAGAAGAAGAAGAAGAAGAAGCAAGGAGGAGGUGGAUUUGGAGGCUUUGGUAGGUUUGGGAGCUCUCCAACAAGUAGGAGCUUGGUGGAACUUGGGCUAAGGUGAGUUUCUAACAUGUAGAACUCUAGGGUUUGGUUUUAAACCUUGAGAUUUAGAGUUUUGAUACUCUAAUUAAUCUAGAAACCCUCUAUUGACCUUGAAACUAUGAAAUCCAUGGUUUUCUUGGGAGCUCUCAUGGUGGAUCACUAGGGCUCAUAGUAGAUGCCCUUGGGAUGGUUCCAAGAGCCUAGAAACCUUAGUAGGAUGCUUCUUAGAUGAUUCUAAGCUAUUAUUUGCUUAGGAGUGAGAUCAAUCCAAGAGAAAAUCCUAUAUGGCAUUGUUAGGGCAUGGAAUUUGGGGCUUUUGCCCUAGAAUUUUUCGGGGACGAAUUGACCUCGUAGAAACCUAAUUGGGGGUACCCUCGACGCGUGGGACAACUCCGUUUAACGUUACGAAAAUGUUUAAGAGUAGUUCGUGUAUAAAGGGGCCUAACUUUGCACUAUUUUGACUAUAGGACGCGGAUUCGGCGUUCGUAACGUUCGGAAGUCUCCGUAUUCUUCAGCUACUACCACUCGAGGUGGGGGGUGCACGCCGGAAUCGUUGGAUUCCCUUCUAUGUCUGUUUCACUUUUGUUGAGCAUAUUGUAUAUAGCCAUUCAUGCAUAGUAGGGUAAUCUUACAUGUGACUAGAGGUUAGAAUUUCAAUAUUAUGCUGCUAAUAUAGAUGAACAUAGUGAUUGAACAAGAACCGUAAUAGACAUGUAUGAUUGAACCCGAAAGAUGUGUGAAUGUGGGACUUGGACUUGACUAUAGUAAACAAAGGUGACAUUGACAAUAGAGACAUGAUUGGCCAUGAGAAUGAAAUUGUUACACAAGGUUUAACAAUAAGAGUACUGAGACAAGAACAAUGUAGAACAUGACACGAACAAUAGGUAAGAACCUAUCAAGUCAUUGGCAUUAUGAUUUGUGGCUAUGUAUCCUCAACUUGAGGAUUGGAUCGAGGCUCACGUGGAUUUAGGCUUGAGGGAGGUCGCUCCCCCUCAUGCGGUGUACUUCGAAGUGUAGAUACCAACGGGGAAGCACCCCGUCGACGAUCCCUCGGGCGGUUGUGCUUAAAGCCUACCCUGGUAGACGGGAAAUGGAAUGGUGAGUUAUUGGGGUUAACAAAGUUAACCGGUAACAUUGGGUACAGAAAGACAAAGUAAUGAUAAAGAACAAGCAUGCAUGCAUACUAUAUAUUGUUGAUUACAUAUAUCUACUGACAUUCUUUUGCAGGCAUAUUAGAUGCAUUAGUACUGGUUACUGUUCUUUCUUGAAAUACUUAUGCCUGGAUAGACCUAGUAGGUAAGUCAGCGAGGUCGAAUGCCGAACCCACUGGAAACUUCGUUGUAGUUCUCACACCACUAACCCUACAGGUCCGAGCGCGAGCGGGGCGGCGGAGGACCAAGGCAAGGGUUUAGCGCCGUAGAUAGCGGCCACCGGGACUAUUUUAUAUUUUGUAGUCAUUUUCUUUUUGGUUUACAUAUAUCAACUCUUUUUGUUGAUUUAGAAAGUUGUAAAGUUGAAAACAAUAUAUAAUUUGGUGAAUGGCUAAAUGUAAAGAAUUAUGAAUGAAAGCAAGAAAUGUAAUAGUUCAGUUUACUUUUAUUUGGGUGCAAAAGCAAUCAAGUAUUAUGUAUGGGUGAAUGAAUUAGCUUAGAGCUUUCGCUUCCGUUGUUGCUUGCCCUCGUGCAAGCCUUGUAUAAAGGCUAAACUCAUUGUUUGAUUGCUUUUUAUACAUGUUUUAGAGCCUUGGGCGGGCAGGGGAGGCUCUGUCCGUUCGGCGUCUGUUGGCGGGACCCGAACCCGACCAAAUUGGCGGGGAUUGGGGCAUGACAUACUAAUAGUUAGUAAAUUAUAAGAGAACUUAUGUGCAAAUGUUGCAUUAUUAAUUUGAUAAGAUCAAAUUAAUAUAAAAUUCAAGUCGAAUCAAAUUAGGAUUUGAUCGAUCUAACCAAUUAAGGAAAGGAUAAAUUUAAAUCUAGAUUUAUACUUAUUCUUAAUUGUCAUUAUAAUAUUAGGAAUAGGAUUAUAUUCCUAUAUAUAAAAUACGGGAGUUUUUAAAAAACCCUAGCUGUCAUCUAUCCUUUCUUCUCUCUUUCAUUUUCUAGCAAUAAAGACGUCCUUUUGCAAGGGAGCUAGCACCCCGGUGAGGACUUCGAUCAAAUCAAGAACCUCGUGUGGAUACCUAUAGAGGCCGGACGCGUGUGCGGCUUCAAGAGAACCCGAUUUCACGAUCAUCAAAUUAAGGUGAAGAUCUAUCCGCGAAUAAGGUAAAGAUUUGAUCUUACUUUUUUCCUUUAAUCUUAAUGAACAUGAGGGAUCCUAAUUGCGUGGUUUUUGAGAUUAGAUCUCGAGAGUUUUCAAAAAUCAAAUUUGUUUGAUUUCUUUUCCGCUGCGUUUUUACCGUACGCAAUUUUCUAACAGGUUCAUGUGUCACUAAUUUCAUGCAUCCUAAGUUCGAAAUUAGCAUCACAAUUAUUUAUAUAUACAUCAUAGGAAGCAUGCAAGUUUCUACAACAAGAAAUACUUGAAUCCUACCAUGCACAAAUAAUAUGUAACACAUUGAAUUUUAGUGAAUUGCAAGGUUCGAGUGUCCGAGCUGUGUUCUGAGUUUUUUUCAGGUCUUCUGGAGGGUCGUUGACUAUGUUUCGACUUAUGACUCGCAUCCCAAGGAGCGAGGUUGAAAACUUGGCACCAAACCUCUAAAUUGCGGUAAUUGGGGCUGGUCUCAGGUUGAGCUCUGCAGAGCAGAGUACCGGUACUGCAUUGCCCGAGUACCGGUACUGGGCUAGUACCGGUACUGCAUCGCGAGAGUACCGGUACGCAGCGUGUUUUCUCGCUUACCCGAGGCUCGGGUUUGCGCGUGCUGCUGCCUGGUACCUGUACUUCAGCCCGUGUCACCGAUACGCAGUGCAGUGCAGACUAUUCAUUGUCGAGGGGUAUUUUUGAGAUUGUUACAACUCUAUAUAACACCCCCACAGCCUUUGGAGAGUUUUUUUUAGCCCUAAUGUCACGCCCCGUAAUCGCCAAUUUGGUCGAUUCGGGCACAUCGAACAGAUACCGAAUGGACAGCACCUCCCCUGUCCGCCCAAGGCUAAACAACAAGAUCAUGUACUAGAAUUUGCCCAGAAAAACUCAAAUACAUACAUGAUCAAUGUAAGUAGGUGAUUUCACAAGCAUACAAGUAAACAAGAGAGAGUUCUAACUAUUACAAUUGACAUUCAACCGUUUUCGCUCUCGAUUACAUUUACAUCUCCCAAAAUGUAUACACAAGUUCAUUACUUGUCUAGAUACAAAAGUAACUCUCUAAAGUACAUAUACAUCUCACCACCUAUACAAGAUCUAACACUCAUGUACAUAGGGUGCUCUAAUGCAUAAGGAAAGCUACUAGCUACCGGGGCGCUAUGCCCUUACCACGGUCCUCGCUCGAAGCUCUCGUACUCGGCCCUGCAACAAAGUAGGGUGAGAACUACGAAUAGUUCCCAUUGGGUUCGGCCGCCAACUCCACCGAUCUCCCCACUAGGUCUAAGCAGGCAUAAGCAGAUAGAUAGAUAGAUAGAUAUGAACAACUGUAAACAUAGUAAUAAAGUCUGCAAUUACACUACUAUGCCUCAAUCAACUGAAAUGAAUGCAUACACUAUAUAGUAAUGAAAUCCGCCAUCAUGAUACUAUGUCUCUAUAUGCAUAUCUCUCAUGAGAUCAUUGUCCAAUCCACUUGGCCAACCCGAAGGUUACACUCCGACUCACAUCUCAAAUCCCAUAGGUAAAGAGGCUGUAAUAUAUCGGAUUUUGAUAUAAAAAUAAAAAUAAAUAAAAAUAGUAUGAGAUACUAUUUUUAUUUUAUUUAGAGAAGUAUAAUAUAAGUCGGAAGCGACUCGUGUUAAAAUUGGAAUGAAAACAGAAGAUUUAGAAUUUUCUGUUAGAACCGGGGUUGAUAUUUUAGCAAAAAAUGUACAGUGUCAGGAAAUUAUAAAAACUGGAGGAUAUGUCAGAAUAUUUUUAUGAGGCUAGAUUUAAAGUUUCAUGCCAUUCUGCCAUCCGAAAGAUGAAAAAUAAAAUCCGACUGCUAUCUGCUAGAGGUUUCAGUUCGGUAGAGCUUUCGAUGACCGAAUGUGGUCGAAACUGAAAGAUUAAAAUUUCUUUCGUUACGUUAAGUAAAACCUAGCCUGAUUGUCAAAUUUGAGCUCAAACGGACAUUCAAAAGGGCAGGCGAAAAAUAUCUGUACCUGAACUGCUAAACUGCUAAUGUGAAUAGUGUAAUGUUGAGGGGGUUUUGUGUAAAAAGGAGUUGUCUCAUUCUUUUUCCUCAGCCGAGCACCACACCAGCCCACACACGCAUGUAUGGAGAAGAGAGAAACCCUCCCUUUCUCUCUCUAAAUAUCUCUCUCGUCUCUCUAGAUCUCUCCCUCAAAUUCGCGGUGUUGGCGGAGAGCGAGCUUGCGAACGCGUUUGGAGCGUCGGAUCGGGCCUUCGUGAACCCGUUGAGCGGCAUGCUUCCGUCUCGGCGUUCACAUUUUGGUAAGCAUUUGAAAUUUGGUUUAAUCCUUAUGCUUAAGUGUUCUAGUAGCCUCUAAUGUGUUGUUAGCAUGUUAAAUUCUUAAUACUUGGGUUAAUUGGAGCAUGUGUAGAGGCUAUGGUUCAUAAUGGGGGUUUUUCUUUAUAUAGGGAUUUGAUCUAAAUUAACCCUAUAGAAAUCUAAUUGUUAGGUAUACGAACGUGUUGGCGAAGUCGGUUCGGCGAUUCGUCGAGCAGGUGCGAAGAUAUUCAAGAAAUGGAUGUUUCGGCUUCAUUUCCGCCUAGAGGGCCGAGGCGACGUCCAAAAAUCACGAAAACGGACCCAGAGUAUCGUGGCAUCAAGUUAUAGACCUUAAAUUUUCGGAUUGUCGAUUGGUGGCUGUUUGGUGGUUGAGUGCGAGUUCGAGCCGAUCCGGGCAGCGGCUGCCACAGGAGGCCGAUUGCAAGUGACUACAAGCAAUCGGAACGCAAUAAUAGGUGGGUUGUGCUCACCGAAAUAUUUAGCUCACUUCCAUGUCGAAGUGAUGUGUGAUUUACUAUUGAUGCAUAUAAUGGUAGCUAGUUGUAAAACCUAUGAAUGCAUGAGUUGAAUGCUAUGUUAGGCUAUCAAAGAAUGCAUGUUUACAUAAUGUAGAAUGUUAAAAGGAUACUAAACGAAUGCAUGUGGGCAUGAUAUAGAAAUGCUAGAUGAAUGCAUAUAAUUGAUGCUAGUUGAAUACAUAAAUAUGGCAUGUGAAUGUUAGCAUUAUGAGAAUAUGCUAGUUGAGGUAUGCAUGUCGGCAAGUUGUAGAAUAUGCAUGUUAACAUAUUGUGGCUUAUGUUAAGGGUAAAAUGCAUGAUGGCAAAUUAUGGAAUAUGCUUGAUUCAUAUGAGUUGAAUUUGGGUCGAUAACUCUAGGGGGAUUAGAGAAUUCGACAAUGAAAAAUAGAAACAUGGAAUACUCGAUUUGGACAACUAGGAGGCCAAAUAGAUCGAGUGGCAUUGAACCUAGUGUUAGUAAACAUAGGUUGGACAUGAAUGAUAUUGAACCUAGUGUUAAUAAACAUAGGUUGGAAUCAUGAGUGGCAUUAAACUUAGUGUACAGAACAUAGGUUGAGAAAUGAACUUAGAGUCAAGCAAACCUAGGUUAUGUGAUAAAAGCAUUAAAUCUAGGGUCAAAUGGACCUAGGAUGGAAAGGACAUUGGACCUAAUAGGUCGACACUAUAGGGUUAAGACCAACCCUUGAGCUAUGUGAAAUGGAUUCUGGAAUCCAAGAACUUAUGGAUCACACCGAGAGGGGUGUGGGGCGUGUGCGACGAUUUCGCCGCACGGGGCUAAACCAUUGUCGAGACGUGUGCGACGAUUUCGCUGCCAGAUGGUUAAGCCGGUUUGUGGAUUAUACCACCGGUUGACUUGAGCCAUGGCUGGGCGUGUGCGACGAUUUCAUCGCCGGGUGGCUAAGUCAUGGAGAGCGGUAGGCUAUGGUUGGCUGAGGUGCAUGUGAGAGUUUCUUCACGUCGAGCCGGACAGAGCGCGGAUUAUCCUCAGUUGAUUGACUCAAGACCGAGUCGAGUGGCAAAGUAUGACUAAGGUAAGAGUAACCUUAGGAAAGAAUGGUAAAUAAGCAUAAUAUGGCUAAGGUGUGAGUACCCUUAGUACAGAAUAAAGAAUAGUUAAGAAUAAAGAAUGGUUAAGAAUAAACAGUGGUAAAUAAGAAAGGAUUGCAAGUAGUAAAGAAUGGCUAACAAUAAAAGAGUGGCAAAUGAUAGAGAGUAAAACCAUUUAAUCUACUUACAUAGUUGCAUGAAUUUCAUGUUGCAUGUUUUGAGGCACAUUCAUGUAUUUUAAUAUUGCAUAAAAUACUUGUGAAUAUCUGUUGGACUAACAUGAUUGCAGUGCCUCCUUGAACCUGGUAGGUCGAGCUUUUUCCUUGGGUGGCCGUACCCACUGGAAACUAUGGACAAUAGUUCUCACCCCCGUGUUAUUUUUGGGGGGUACAAGUUCACACGUGAGCGGCGCGAUGGCGCGAGGAAAGGGCAUGCUCCGUAGAUAGCGCCCUACCACCGAGACUAGAGAUAGUAGUACCUGAGUCGGCUACUUAGGGAUGUAAAAAAAAAUGAAAAGAAUAAUGUUGUAAUAAUUGUGAUAAAUUGGAUUGUGUUUGGAAGUAAGAAUCUAGUUAAUGUAAUGUAAAAUAUGAACUGAGACGUAUGCUUUAAUAGCAUAGUUGUAUUAUGUUUUUGAUACAUUCCUUAUGCAAUCUUUGUUGUAUGCUAUUCCUGGUUGGAACCUCGCGCAUUGUUUGGAUUGUGACUCCUUGGACGUACAGGGGAGACUCUGUCCGCGGUACAGGAUAAACCCUGUACGUUCGGCGGUCUCUUAGCGUGCCCGAAUCCGACCAAAGAGGCGGGCUCGAGGCGUGACAAAGACCCUCCCGCUCGCAAACCCGAGACCGUCUUCGGGACAACUACAUCUGUCCAUCGCGUGACAACUCCGGAGCGCACUGCUUGGGUGGUACAGCCAUUACCAAGCGCAUAACAAACUAUGUGAGUAUGAUCCAAUCCUCACCGACUGAGGAUACCCUGUCAACUAGGGUUAACAACCACUCGGGAGUCCAGCUAUCCCUAUGUUCAAUGCCAUAGUGUUUCAACUACACUAAGUUCUUAAGUCACGUAUUAUAGCCGAUGUCAAGUGUUUUAUCUACACUAGUUUUCAUGCCACUCGUCAUGUAUUCACUAACAUCCAUAUGCCACUCAUCAUGUUCUCGGAUAUAAACACAAAGUUCAUCACUUGUUUAGCACUAUAGGGCUCUAUGUCACAUCACUCUAUUCUCAUGCGUCCUAAGUUCUCAUGUCAUGUAACAUAUCGAAACCUCAGUAGAGAUUAUCGAACUUUAGCCAAAAUUGGUUAAAGUGCUGAGAGAAAUGGUUGGACAAGUUCCAUUUAGCAUUCCAACAGUGUUGGAAGGGUUAAAGAUGAAUUUAAAAGAGUUAGAAAGAUUUUUGCAUUGAUUGGAGCAAAGUAGAAUCGAAACAAUGCGAAAAACUGCAGUCUAGACAAAGUGUACCGGUACAACAUUAAUGUUGUACCGGUACAAAACGGCUGACCGAGAGAAGGCCGCUCUCGGGUUUGCUCUCUACGCGAUCGUGUUACCGGUGACAGGUUGAAGUGUAUCGGUACACUUUGGUAUGGCAGCAACAAUAAGGUCUGUUGCAAAAACAAAUGUUUGGGGGGCUUUGUUGUAAUUAUGGCAACCUAUAAAUAACCCAACCCCUCUCCCCUUCACAGCAAACACCCCAAACCAUCUCUCCCUCUCAUUUCUCUCUUCCUCUCUCUAGAGACCUCACUCUAGGGCAAGGAGUUGAAGGAGAAGAAGGCAUUGAAGGAGAUUUUUGGAGGAUUAGAGGACCUAGGAGCUCUCCAACAAGGUGGACCUUGGAGGAGCUUGGGCUAAGGUGAGUUUUAUGCAAGAACACUUCUAGGGUUUGGAUUUUACCCUUAAUCUUAGUGUAUUGGACUUCUUGCAAACUUAGAAACCCUUUUGAGACAUGAGCUCCAUGAAAAUCCAUGGAAGCUCCAUGUGCUCUCAUGGUGGUCAUCUAGGGAUCAUGUUAGAUGCCCUAGGAAUGGUACAAAUAGGUUGGAAAUGGUAUUAGAGAGCUUCCUAGAUGAUUCUAAGUUAGUAUUUGCUUAGUUACAAGAUCAAUCUAGGAAAAAUCCAUAUAUGGCAUUGUCAGGGCACCAAAUUUGGGGCUUUUGCCUCCGAUCGUUUUCAAGAUAAAUUGACCUCAUGAAAAUCUAAUUAGGGGUAUUUUUGACGCGUUGGUGGUCUCGGUUCGGGAAAACGAAGAAUCUAUGUAAAGAUAUUUAAUAAAAAGCCUAAUUUGACACUAUUUUGUUACAGAUCGCCGCAGCACGUCGAAUAGGAGUCUAAAAAUCACGAGAAUCGAACCCCAACUCCUCUACUACUAUUCGAGGUGGGGGGUGCACUCCGGAAUCGUUGGAUUCCCUUCUAUGUCUAUCUCACCUUUUAUUUGAGCAUUAUGUCAAUAGUCAUUCAUGCAUAUUAGGGUUAAUUACAUGUGAAAGAUGGUUGGACUUCAAUUACAUGCUUCUAACGUAAAUGAACAUAGAGAUUGAUAUGGACCAUAGUGGACAUGUUUGUGGAACCCUACUUGUGUGAAUGUGAGACCGAGACUAUGAUAAUGGUAAACAAAGGUGACAUUGACAAUAGAGACAAGAUUGGCAUCGAGAAAAGGAUAGUUAAACAAGGUUUAACUAUUAGUGGCAUAAUGACAAGAAUAACCUAGAAGUGGCAAAUAUAAUAAGGUAGAAACCUAUCAUUGGUUGUGGCAUUGUGGCUAGUGGCUAUAUAUCCUCAAGUUGAGGAUUGGAUCAAUACUCACGAUAAGUCUUGGCUUGAGGGAGGUAGCUUCUCCUCAAGCGGUGCGUUCCGGAACAGUCAUCACGGGGAUAGUGGCCCCGAAGACGGUCCCUCGGGUCUUGCAGUGCUUAGAGCCUCCCCAAACAAAAGGGAUUUCGGGUUGUGAAUUAUUAGGGUUAACAUAGUUAACCGGUAAGAUUGGGUAAAAGCCAAAGAAAAAUUAUGGAAAAAGCAGGCAUGCAUAAUCAUCCUUUAUUUGAUUAUAUAUCUACUGACAGUUUUCUUGCAGGCAUAGUAUUAGCAUUAGUUUGGCUACUAUUUCUCUUUCUUUGAAAUACUUAUGCCUAAAUAGACUUAGUGGGUAAGUUAGCGAGGUCGGUUGCCGAACCCAUUGGAAACUUCGUUGUAGUUUUCACACCACUAACCCUACAAAUCCUAGCGCGAGCGGUGCGGCGGAGGAUCGAGGCAAGGGUAUUGCACCAUCGCUAGUGGCCACCGGAGUACUUGCAUAUAGUCAUUCCCUUUUUGGUUCAUGUAUCAACUUUCUUUUAUUGAUCUAGAAAUGUAAAAGUUAUAAACAUUCAUGUAUUUUGGGAGAAUGAUUAUGAUGUAAAAAGAUAUUAUGAAUGAAGGAAAUGAAUGUAAUAGUUGUAGUUACUAGUAUUUGGUUUAAAUGUAAUCAAAUAUUAUGUAUGGUUGUAUGUUGUAGCUUAGAGCUUUCGCUUCUGUUGUUGCUUGCCCUCGCUCAAGCCUUGUAUAAUUGCAAAUCUCUUUGUUUGAUUGCUUAAUUAUACUUGAUGCUAGAGCCUUGGGUGGGCAGGGGAGGCCCUGUCCGUUCGGUGUCCGUUGACGUGGCCCGAAUCCGACCAAAUUGGCAGGGAGCGGGGCAUGACAGAUAUGAUGGUAUCAGAGCGUGGUGAAAGUAAAAGUCUAGGAUGGACUUAGGGACCUUAGGAUUGGAGACCUUAGGGACUUAGAAAACGUUCAACGUGGACUUGGAUUAAUGCGGAAGCUAAUUGAUUGGGUUUAUGUUGGUACUUCUCUAAAAGAAAUUAGAGAUGGAUUCAAGUGUUUAAUUGUUUUUCUACUUAUGGGAUUGUGUGGGGCGGCCGACCACAUGACGCCGAGAGUUGGAAACAAUUACGCUUGAUUGCUUUCGCUUAAUUGGGUAGUUAAUUGGAACGUGUAAGUGUCAAGUGUGUCGAGUACUAAUAUAUGUGCUACGUUUCAGGACGUGAUGGCACCAAGAGGACGCCCUAGUACGCGAUCUACAGCGGCACCGCCUCCUGAGGUGCCCGAGCAGUCGGGGUCGGAUGAAGUGCGCGAGCUGCGGGCCCAAGUAGCGACUUUGGCCGGGAAUAUGCGGCAGCAGGGGGAGCAGAUAAGACGGCUCCAUGAGUUGGUCGCUCGACAGGCGACGGCGGCUGCACCUGUGCCUCAGGAUCCGCCCGCACCUGCGGCACCACCUCCAGCGACGGCGGCAGCACCGGUGACGGUUAUUCCUCUGACGGCUUCGGGUUCAUCGGCUCCUAUUUCCGAUGCGCUUGAGGCCGAGCAGGAGCGAUCAUUGGCGGUGUUGACGGCCUUCAAGCCAUUCAACCUUCCGACCUUCAACGGUGAUGUGAAGGAUCUGUGGGUGAUGGAGAGUUGGCUAGCCGCGAUAGAAGCGUUGUUCGAGGACAUCUACACCCUCGAGAAGGAUAAAGUCCACUUGGCGGCCCAUUGCUUCGAGGGGUCGGUGCGGCUAUGGUGGACACAAGCGAAGAAAAGUCGCUUAUUGGAUCUCGCUUCCAUUACUUGGGAAGCAUUUCGGGAGAUGCUAUUGAUGGAGUACUUUUCCAAGAGUGACAAGCGGAAAAUCAAGGAGGAUUUUCGCAAGUUAAGACAAGGUAGCCGGACGGUGCGGGAGUACGAGAAGGAGUUCACGCACCUUAUCAACUGCGUGCCGAGCUUGGUUAACAGCGAUAGGGACCGAGCGGAGGCUUUCGAGCGCGGGUUGCGACCCGACAUUUUCAAGGUUAUUCAUGCAUUUUGCUUGAAGACCUAUGAGGAGGUACUUGACCGCACAUUAUGGGUGGAGCUGAACUGAACUGAUUCGCCUUGGGAGUUUGAGCAUAAUGUAAUGCAUCUUGAAGUUAAUCUUGCUGAUUGCGAAGACUGUUAUUUUACCUAAAUUGGGUAUUUAUAGAAAGGUUGGAGCCUAAUUGACUGAUAACUUAAAAUGUGAGAAUCCUUAAAAUGUUGGAUAAUUUUUUUUUUUGAGAAGUUGUUGUUGUAUUUCUGAUCAAGUCACAAAUUGUGGGCUUGACUAGUAGGGAGGCUUUUAUGCCUAGUGCUUCAUUUUGGUGAAGCAAUUCCACUUGUUGUUAGGUUGGAUGAGUUGUUCGACUAUAUGUCAAAUUUCGUGAUUUCAAUUGGAAACGCAAUUAAGUAGUUGGACCAUAUUGAGACUUGUUAAUCUUUUAAUCAGUCUUGAGCAUUAGGUGCAUUUUAUAGAUUGAGUAGCAAUCUGAGGAAUUUUGUAGCCUUCUUUGACAGAGAAUGUCAUGAAGGGGUUGUUCAGUCGUUUGUUCUGUGAACUCUGUAAGGCAGAUGAUGGAUGACCGAGUAGAAGAAUUAAUAGGAUUGAGAGGAGACUCUCCUAAUUGGAUCAAGUAUUUUGGGAAUAUUGAGAAAGAAAUCAUCCUGUUACUUAUUUCUUUCUCUUUCUAUUUUGGCUUAUGUAUAAUGGAACUAAGCUUCUUGAAACAAACUGCAUGAGAUAAGCUUUUGGGGAUUAAUGUCUUAAAAGAUGGUCAUAUCAGGAUAAACCCCGUAUAGUUCGGAAGCGAAUAGUGAUGCUCUGAUUGUGGGUUAACGAAAGGCUUCAGUAGAAUUCUUCCCUAAUUGUAGAGUAAUAUGUACUAUGAUAGCGAUAGAGAACAUAUGGAUAUAAAUUAAUUCCCCUCUAUCGCCUACAGUGGAUUUGGAACAAUGAAUACUUUGAGCAUCACACUCUUAGAACAAUAUUAAAGGAAGUUUAUCUGAUUGGUCUAUUUGAAAGAUCAAAUAAGUGAUAUCAUGAGUUAUUUUGUUAGAAGCAAACCUCCAAUUUGGACGUGCAAUAGAAUUAAUUGGAAAUCGAAUUGGAGUGCGUGAGGAAAAUCUCUCAGUGAUGAAAUGGUUAUGAUUUACUCUAUGAUUAGUACAAAGAAAAACAGUAAAGCUGCAGAGACAACAUAAUGGAAUUUGUAUGAAGUUUGAGCACUAACAUUGAGCAGCAUCUGUUGAUGUGAAUUAAGGAUUAUCGCCUAGUAGUGGAAUUGAAUAUGGUACUAAGGCAUUGUAAUACAAUGCUAAAUGAUAUAUAGAUCAGGAGUCCAUCUUUAAUGGAUUGAUUAAGAAGAUGAUCGGUUUCUAUUUAGUAUCGAAAGGGAACUACCAUGGAUAACUAGUUCUUUACUAAGCUAGUUGUAAUUGUGGAAUGUAGUAAAAGCAAGGAAUAUGGAAAAUUGUUUCCAUAUCUGACCCUGGAGUAGAAGUGCACCAAUAAUGCAAAUUCUGAGAAGUUUUGACUAUUAGAUGAUACAAAAUUAAUCAUUGGUAUAUGAUCAUCUUGUAAAGUACAAGAUGUGUAUCAGACGUAACCAAUGAAUAGUAUUAGAUGUUAAGGAAUGAUUAUACUCCAAUUAUAUGAAUAUGACGGGAAAAGUUAGACUUCAGCCUCAAUCUAUUUGAGGGAAAUAAGAAAUGGGACUCCAUCCAUAAAGGCAAUAGAUUUUGUGAAGAAUUGAGAGACUGAUCGAGCAAAUUAUAGUAAAAGAUGAACUUUAUCUUAUAAAUUAGAGAUUUCAGGAUAGUUGUGGAAACUCGAAUUGAGAACUGCUGCACCUCUGACAUCACCUCUGACAUCAUAGAAUUCUCCGUAUGAAAUGCCUCAAGUGAUUUGACCUGUUCGAAUCCUUUGGGAAGUGAAGUAUGUGCCGAUGGAAUGUAUUUCCCAUCAUUUUAAGAUGGUUUUGAGCAAGGAUUCGGUUUUUAGUUUCGCGGAUGAAACUUCUUUUUAGGAGGGAUGAAUAUAGUACACUGAACUUUGGCAAAGUUCGAAGCUCGAAUGUUAGAAUAGUAAUUGAAACUAUUCUAUGACUUUUGCAAGAUUAUUGAGAGGUUUUCAGCAAUUACUGGAGUAAGCAAGUAACCGGAAGUGGAAAAGUGCAUUGUGAAUAUACUAUUCAAAUGUAGUACUCUGGACUUAGUUAAGUGCAAAGUUUCGAGAGUGGGAUUAGUAUCUGGAGCUAACCCACUCUUUUAAAGAGCUGAAGUGAGGGUUCUUGACAAGUUAUAAGAGUGAGCAAACAGCCGGAAGAUCGAAAGUGCAUUGCUGUGGCCAUUUUGCAUAUUCUGUAAUGUUGUACUAGUACAAAGUUGAGGCUGUACCGGUACAACCAGCAUCAGCAGUAGCGGCUGCGUGGCAGCAGGAGUUUUUGGUAAUUUCCUUUGCCAGCUUUGGUCUUAUCCUCCUCAGCUCGACUCCCAGCAUAUCCUUAUCAGGUUUAAGCUCAGGAACAGGGUAAGAACACCUUUCUUACUCUCUCUUUAGAUCUUCUCUAAUUUUGAGUAGAACCAAGGGAUUUGAGCUUGUCUAUUUUCCUUUUUGAUUACUAGCUCGUUGCGAGGCCUUGGAGCUGUGAUUUAUUGGUGGAGAGAUGAGUUUUAGAGACAUUUCAUGGCUCUAAUACAGCAGAUAGCCAAGUUGAGGGUUUAAUGAGGUGAGCUACUCAACUUUUCAUUAGCUUAAGGCUAUAAUAGAGAAUUUGAGCUAGUUCUUUGCUCUUGCUGCCAGCAGAUUUGAGGAAGCUCACGGCAGCUUUAGAAAUAGUAUUUUGGGCUGUGUUUCUCAAGAUUAACUCAGGGAGUACCUACGUUAAAGCUUAGAAAGGUAUGGUGUCUAAUGUUUUACUAGUUAAGUGUUCUAGUGGCUGAAUUAGUAAAGGUAGUGGUGCAGUUUUGAAUUAUGUUCACAGCAAGUUGUGUGAACUUCAUUAGCUGAGUUUAGUAACCCACAUGAGCUGGUUUUGGUGUGCUUCCACCUGAGUUGGAGCUGUGUAAGGUGAGCAAUUCAACUCCUUAUAGUUGGAUGUGUUGAUCAUAGUGUUGAAGCAGUUUUCAAGGUUAACUCGCAGCGGGUUCGCAGCGGACUACCUGAGCUCUUUGGCUAAAAUUUGGAAGCUUUUAAAAGUGGGAUGUGGUACUCCAACCUGAGCUGAAAUAGAAAUUCAAGCUUUAGCACUACUUUAGGAGUGUUUGAAGGCUUCGGAUCUUAAGCGGAGUCUUGGUAACACUUAAAGGCUGGUUGGAGGUGCUUCAACCUGAUUUGAGGUAAGGUUGUAAGGACUGAGAUUUUGGCAGUGCAAUUAGACUCUCUGUUGACGAUGUUUCUGUGUGUAAUUUAAUUACAUAAGCACCCGUCAAGUUUCAAGAGAAAAUGAGCUAAAAUGGAGAAGAUACGCGAUUUUUAGUUUUUACUUAAGUGAAUAGUAACUCCGGUUUUCUGGAGAAGCCAUGGAGUAGAGUUGGCUUUCGGCGCGUAUCGGACUCCGUUCAUAGCGAUCUAAUAGCUCGUUUCGACCGGUUCAGCUAUUUUGGAACCAAUGGCACUGAUGGAUUUCAAAUCUGACGCACGAUUUUCGAGAAAAAGGGAUUUUAUCGAAAAGAGGGUUUUCGCUCUUUGCUGUUCUUGCAUAAUGAGACUCGUCGUGCUCUGUGUAUGUGACCUAGAGUAAGGUGAGUGAUGUUACACGUACCUACUAGUGGUAGGAGAUUCAAAUUUGAAUUUGAAUCUAGGAUUUAGUGGGAUUACACAUUGGUAUAUGUGUGUGGUUUUUUGGAAAUUGGAGAGCGGACGGAUUUCGUCGCAAAUCGGCGAUCAAACUUGAUGAAACAAAAUAGUAGCUUUGAUGCCCUCGUCAUGCUGAACGCGAUGGCGCGGUCGGAUCGAAAAUCCGAUGGACGGAUUUUCGAAAAACGUAAGAUGUUCAUUGAGGGGUCGAAUUGGCAAAAACGGAAAUCUUGCGAAAGGUCUAACAUUUUAUGUAUCGAAUCACGUGAAAUCGGACGACGAGGUGCGUAUGCGCAAAAUACACGCGCUAUGAAGGUCUCAGUAUGAAGUAUUGAGUUUCGGAGGACUUUUGUGCAAAAUUGUCAUUUGCAUAAAAGUGGCCACUUAGGGUUUCUCCAUGGAAACCCUAACGCUAGGCCUCCCUCUUCCUCAACCGAACCCCAGCCGCCUCCCUCUCGUUCCCCUGCUCUCCACGCGCCACUCCGGCCAUCUGAUCAUGCCGCCGGCCGCUCUUCUACCUCCUCUAUCACUUUCCCUACUUUUCCUUCCACCCUCCUCAGCCACCGAGCUCGGGAAGGUACCUAAACCUAUGCAACCAUCUUCCCUUGGCCGAGAUCCAUCUCCGGUGUCGUUCCCGCCGGCCGCCGCCGUCCCCGUGCGCUGCCGCCGCCGCCGCCAGGUUGAGCUGCUGCCGCCCGGAUCUACAGCAGCCCGAGCUGGGAUCACCCUGGUCCCCGCGCACUGCUCCUACCUUUGAUCCGUCGCGCUGCCUUCCGACGACCUCCGGCACCCCUCCGCUGGCCAUCACGUCGUCCCGGAGCGCCGCCGGCCACCGCUCGUGCACUCUGUAGCUGCCCAGGGUUGGUACGAGCCGAGGCCGAGCCCCCACAGCCACCGCACAUCGCCACCGCCCACUGCGGGGCGCUUCGCCGUUCCCUCGGCCUCCAGCAACGGAUCGCCGUCGCCCCGAGCUUCUCCGGCAGUGCCUAGCCGCCGGGAGCCCUUGAACCCGAGAACUAUUGGCGGGCUUGAUCUCCUCCGCCGGGCCACCAGUUGGCGCCCACCGCCGUCCAGCACCUGCCCCGGACAUCUCCGACGGACCGCACCCGUCCCCUGCAGGUGCGCCCGCCGCCGGCCGCUGCCGGCCGUGCCCUAGCUCCACCCUGUCCGGUAAGCUAUUUUCAGCCUGUCUGCGCACUAGUUUCCUGUUUGGAUCACUGUUCCGACGACCCGGGGCUGUUCCGAUGCCUCCGGAGGUGAGCACGGUGAUCGUCAGUCAGUUCUGAUCACAAUGCUCACCUCACUUAGGGUCAGCGAGCUUCGGAUGAGUUAAUUAGAUGUGUUUUAGUUUCAGGGAGCGCUAUUUUGUUGAACUUCGUGUCGCUCGUGCAUGUCCUACAGUGGUCGUAACUGCUCCGAAAGGUGAGCACGGUCUCCGGCAUGCCGAAACCUAUCAGCAGGUGUCUCGGUUUGACUAUACGAUUAUCAGUUUGCGUUGUCGGGCCAUAACAUCCCCGAAAUCACAUAAAAUUAUGUGAUUUUGGGUUAUUGGGAGGUUUUUUAUACGAUUGUUCAUUAUGUGGCUGCUGUUGGUAGCGUGUGCAAGCUAUGGGUAACCUCUGGACUGAUUGUCCAAGGCCCCAAGCCCUUGUGGAGAUCGGAAAUGCAUUUCCGGUGCGUUUGUCGGCAGAAUUCGCUGACGGAACACGGUUUUAGUUCGGAAUUCUUCCGACGGUGCCUCGUGAGCAUUUGUUGAGUCGCUGAGCCUUGUUGGUUGGUCACUCAUGUCAUUUCGAGGGUUCAGAAAUGACAGGUGAGCGACGGUGGGUUCCGGUGUCGAAAUAGACACUUUCGGGAACCUAGAUCCGAACGAUUACCCGACGAUAAUUGUUUGGAGGCGAGAUUUUGUGUUUGCUGCCAAGACAUCUUAUUUGAUGUGUUUUGUGGCAGCGGGUGACUCGUAGCAUGAGUUGGUACUUUCCGGGACAUUUCAGUGGUCCCGACGGAGUCCCGGUGCGAUUUCGGGACUUCCGGCGAGUUACGGUAGUCGAUUUUGGGAAACUGAUCUCCGUGGGUUUGUUAGUGGGAUUAUGAUUUAGUAUUUAUUAGUUGUGGGUUAGACACUAAACCGGUGGACCCUCCUUAGGUCCAGUUGACAUCCUUUUGCAGUCAGGAGACAGACGCGACAUCCUUACAGGUGGGUACUUCGAUCCGACGUCGGUACAGUGGUGCACGCUCGGUGAUGGUUUCUUACCCUUACUCUUCUGUUGUUAUUAUUGCAUAGUAUAUAUCGAGCCUUGCACCCAUGUUAUUCCAUUAUACUCUACUCGUUGUUUGCAUGCUUAGUAUCCUGAGUAGGAGUAGAGUGGUUCUAUCUAUGUGCGUAUCUGUUGACCUGGUUGAUCAAUUCUUGUACUUCACAUCAGUGACUUGGUAGGUCGAUUCUUGUACUUCAUAUCAGGGACUUGGUAUGUCCAUUCUUGUACUUCGUAUAAGUGACCUGGUUGGUCUAUUCUUGUAUCUCGUAUUUGUGACACAUUCGGUCGGUUCUUUGACUUCUGUCGUUCGAUGACCGUUGUGGUCGAUGUACCCUAGAGGGGUUGGAUUGUUGGCUAGUGGCCGACGGUAGUUCUGGAUUCUAUUGAUACACCCUGAUGACCAAUUCAUCGAUUCGUUGUGCAUAUAUCCUAGUUGAUCUGAGUGGUCAGUUCUUGUGGUUCAUUGAGCAGUAUUUGCAUAUGUUUGAGAGGAUGUUGAUGUUGUCCCAUCCUAGUUGACCUGAGUGGUCAGUUCUUGUGCUUCCUUACAGUUGAUGACCUAUACGGUCGAUGGGCCCUGUGGGCAGGAUUGUCGGCUGGUUGCCGACGUUUGGCCUUUGAGCAUAUCAGCAUUGACCGCCCGAUACUCAUCGUAUUUCACGAAUACUGGCGGUCUGAUCCACCGCAAGGGGUGUUCUUUUUCGGAAAAGUGGUUGCAGGUGUCAACCCGUGAGCCUCCGAGGGGUCAUAUGCAUGGGAGAGUGGUAGUGGUACUGUCGGGAAGUUUUCGGUGUGAACCUCCAGGGCACAAGCUUGAGGUUUGCGGUGCGGACCAACAGAGCAGCAGAUUCUAGAUUGGGUAUAUUUGAGCUAUACGUCCGAUUGACGCAUAUGUCUAUAGUAGCAGUUGUUGCAUGCAUACUUACAGUUCUUACUUUACAGUUGUCUUGCUACUAUAGUAGAUAUCCAUAUAUGCUUUCAGUUGUUCAUUACAGUAGCGGUAGUUAUAUUUUCUUUCAGAUAUAUGUCUUUUUGAUUCAUUAUUAUUGCUACCGUAUUUUCUACUGACCCGUACUGUUGUUUAGUUCUUCCUAAUCCGGUGAGUACUCCUCGCCUUCAUCGGCUUGCGGUACCCACUGGGAGGGGAGACAUGUUUAUAUGUUCUCACCUCCCCCACCAUUUUUCAGGUAUCGUGAGCGGUGAGGUUGAGACGAGACGUGAGACACGUUCGUAGUGGUCGCUAGAGCUUUCGACCCAGUUUGUUGGUUUAGUUCCUACCCUAUUUACCUUUGUUAUUAAUAGUUCUGAUAUUUUAUGGUUCAGUUGGUUUAUAUUAUUCGAAUUCAUGUGAUUUUGAAUGAACUAUAGAACUCGUGGAUUUUUUGAAAAGAAAAAAAAUGAUUUUCUACCCCUCGUGGUAGCGUGUUUUAAAAAGAAAAGGUUUCCGUGUGGGAAAUAGCUUUCAAAAGAGUUUUCUCGUGGUUUUUAUGUUUAAACACUGAAUGGUAAAUAUCUGGUGAAUGGUAAAUGAAUGCUGAGUAUUGUAUAUUCAUGUAUUGUGGUUGUAUCCUGGUUAUACUCUGUUUGGACAUCUUGUACUUGUGCGACGCCGUGCAAAUACAGGGGAGACUCUGUCCGUGUGAACAGUGGACUCCCUGUAUUUGUGGCGGAUCUGGCAUACCCCGUGGUUAGGUUUCCAAAAAAAAAAAAAUUUCUGCUGUGUUUUAACCUAAAAGGGACAUCGGGGCGUGACAGAUUAAAGUGGUAUCAGAGCCAAGUUAUAACCACAACACUAUUCACAGGUUGUUUUGAAAAGUAAAUGAAACUGAACCAUUGGUUAGAUUGACCCAGAGGAAGACCUACGGUAUAUAGGCACAUGAGUGCGGGGUUUGGACUUGUGUCUUGGGCUGCAUUCGAGUUUGGUAAACUCGAAGUGCAUGGUGUUUCUGUAUGUGUUACGGUUCGCACAAGCUGGUGUCUAAGUCGGGAGUAGUGGCGGUGUACUUAUUCGGGCAUCGAGUGGUGGGGCGACGUUCCUCAGGUAUUGCCACUCCUGUCAGGUGGGGCCUUGAAGGGCCAAGUGAGAUUUUCGGGCCUAGGCGAGUGUCAUAACUGCCGACGCCCAGGCCACUCUCUCUACUUAGGACACGAGAGCUGUUGCGAGUGUUUCUACGGAGAUGGCACUAUGAUCAGUUACGAUCGUGACUUUAGUGGGGCUACUAGGGCGUAGCCCAGGGUUUGGUUAGCGGUCGUUUAGGCGACUACAUUAUUAGUGUUGCUUCCGCAGAUCUUUGGGUAGGGUUGCGAUGCCUACCUCUCCUCCUUGAUUACUGAUUGGAAUCAGCGGUUUGGAUCUUUUGAUCUUGAACUAGUUCUUUCGUCAAAUUGACGUGUACUAGAGUCGGAUUGACACAGUUUGGUGUCAGGUUUUCGUUGAUGCAUACAUCGUAUGCUAUUAUUCUCACACCUAAAUUGGUGUGUUGUGGGUUAGUCUGUGGUUUGUGGUAGAGUUCGUUUUGACUCGAGAUACUCUUGGAUAGUGUUGGAGUUCUCGGAGCUUGGGUAUAGUUCGGUUGUGGUGCGGAAAUUGGUUAGAGAAACCAAUUCUUAAAGCCUCAGUCCGUGUGGUUCGCCGUUUAGUGUCGCUAGUGACUUUCAGAUGUUGAAAGCUAUGAAACUCCCUGUGAGUUGGUUCAAGGUCGGGUUGAUUUCGAAUGCCGGCUUGCAAAGUCGAUGUUUCGACAGUCUUGGUUGUGAGCUUUUGGUUCAGUAGAGAGGUAUCAAGUGGCUUGAUACUUUAACGCGUUGUGUUUCCAACUUGUUGUUGGUAGUGGAUCUUCGGAUAUUUCGCUUUUCUUUUGAUAAGUAUAUUGGCUACAGACAAUAUACUGUCGAAAGAGGGACGAAAUACUAUCUUCCCGUUUGGGACUUGUGGAUUGGGUCGAUGUGUUCUCUAGACUGUUUUGUGGGAAAAGCUAGAGUGAUGGUCAUCUCUGACCAUGUGGCGAGCCUUGGAUUAUUUCCCUGGCAGGUUUUGUACAGUUGACUUACUGUCACUGCUGAUGGUUUUCACUUUGGUUCGAGUCUAGGUGAUCGUUGGUUCUAUUGUUGUGCCUUCCACAACUAAAGGUUUGCCUUGGUUGUUAGUCUUGGCCUUUUGCUAGGCGGUUCUGAAUCACAGUUGUUGCGUGACUUUAGCCUGGUUGUUGGCUUUGAUUGUCAUCGUAUGUGAUAGCAUAUAUGGUUUGCGACUCGGCUUAACGUGCAAACCAAGAAAUGGUAUGCUUGUCCAGUCAAAUAGGUGACAGGUACGUCUGGAUCUCAAUGAGACAUGUUUUUGGUGUUGCUCGGAACAUCAAUCGCUAGGGUCCCUGGUUGGACGGCAGCGACAGGGUCUCGUGUAGACAAAUGUUGAGCAUCGCCGACAGUUAGUAUCGCUUUUGUGAUUGGCUACCUGUGCAUCAAGUGAUGGACUUGCAAAGAGCUUUCAGUGGUCUGUUGGUACUGGUUAAGUUUGAGGAGACAAAAUUGUCUAGCCCAAAUGGUAUCGUUAGUUGGACCUGUUGGUCAGGCGGAAAGUGAGGUCUUGGACCUAGGACUAUAGAUUAUCGCAGGUGACUUUCCGUUGAUAGAGGUUUUGGCAGUUUGUGUGGUUAUUGGUGGGAGACUGUGGUCUCCAAGGUGAGAGUUUUGACUCAGGUUAUAGAACAACGUUUUGUAUUCGCUCGUGGUGAGCAGGUUGAUGUUGUGGGCUAGUUGGAGUAUUUCAUUUCAGUCUACGUAAAUAGACUCCAGAUUAGUAGUUGUCUCGUGACUUUUCUACGUGAACUUGCGACGUAGUCGAGUUGGUUACUGGUAUGCGGAUCAAGGUUGAGUGGACCUAGAAUUUCUGAGUGUUGAAGUGUUAUCUCAGAAUUGGCAAAGUUGGGAUCGACGAAUCCUAGCAGUGGGACUGUUUUUGUCCGCAAGUUAUAGGAUGGUGUUGAUCCCGGUGAGUUUUGGUCCGUAGAUUUUGGGUUGGUACGUUUUUCCCUCAUUUUUGUCCGAGUGGAACCGUGGUCCUAUUCUUCCCUUAUUCGGAGAUUGAUUUGUCCAAAUUCAAGGAUUUGUGAUUAACCAGUACUCAAGGGUGAUAUUGUAGUGGUGGAGUAAUAUCUGAAUUCUAUUUCGGUGGGUACAUGGUCAAGUUUCGGGGACGAAACUUCUUUUAAGGGGGGGAUAAUAUAAGGACUGAGAUUUUGGUAGUGCAAUUAUACUCUCUGUUGACGAUGUUCCUGUGUGUAAUUUAAUUACAUAAGCACUCGUCAAGUUUCAGGAGAAAAUGAGCUAAAAUGGAGAAGAUACGCGAUUUUUAGUUUUUACUUAAGUGAAUAGUAACUCCGAUUUUCCGGAGAAGCCACGGAGUAGAGUUGGCUUUCAGCGCAUAUCGGACUCCGUUCAUAGCGAUCCAAUAGCUUGUUUCGACCGGUUCAGCUAUUUUGGAACCAAUGGCACUGAUGAUUUCAGAUCUGACGCACGAUUUUCGAGAAAAAGGGAUUUUAUCGAAAAGAGGAUUUUCGCUCUUUGCUGUUCUUGCAUAAUGAGACUUGUCGUGCUCUGUGUAUGUGACCUAGAGUAAGGUGAGUGAUGUUACACGUACCUACUAGUGGUAGGAGAUUCAAAUUUGAAUUUGAAUCUAGGAUUUAGUGGGAUUACACAUUGGUAUAUGUGUGUGGUUUUUUGGAAAUUGGAGACCGGACGGAUUUCGUCGCAAAUCAGCGAUCAAACUUGAUGAAACAAAAUUGUAGCUUUGAUGCCCUCGUCAAAGUAGUGAAGGCUUAAGUGGAACUUUAGAAUAUGUGCCAUGGGUCAUUUGAACCUAGAAUAAGUCAUUGAGUAUGACCUUAGUAAACCACUUUCCUUAUGUAUAGGGAAUAGUGAGAGGACUCUAUGUGAGUAUGUGUGGAUAUAGCCCAUCAUGAUAUUAAGUUUAUAAUUAUUCAGGUUAUACCAGCUAUUGGUUAAAGUAUGUCAACAAGUAGUUGAUAGUGACGUAUGACUUGGGUACUACAGUGUCGACCUUGCGUCGAGUAGAGAUUCUAUGUUAGAGACAUGAUGAAAUUGUGAUACUUGUGCUAUGGAUUACAGCUUGCAUGCCAUUAUGCUCUUUCGCACACGCUUGUGGGGGUCGCGCCCCCCAAGCGAGCACUCCGGAGUAGCUUAGUGACAGAUUGCUCACUUAUGUACGAACCUGAGCGCCGAAAUGGAUUGCUGUGGGUAGUGUUGACUUCCAUGGGGCCAUUAGGCACAGCGCGGUUGGGACUUUACCUUGGGUAAGUCUCUUGUGAAUUGGGUUAUUAUGAGUCACUUUAACUUUAGAUGGACAUAGUAGUAAGUAUACUUUAUGUCAUUGAUCGAGUAAACUUAGUGAUGAACAAGUUAGAAGGUUGACAUCCUGAUUAGUUAGUAGCAUAGUAACAGUAUGUUUACACUCUUGCUAGUGUAGGAUGUAACUACAUGAUAUCAUCUGAUAGUUCAAUGAUAAUGAGAAUAAUUGCAACAGCCUGGCAUAUGACUAAUCAAAUUGUCUACCAACAUGAAUGAUAGAACUUAUCAUGAUAAACUAAUGUUCACAACCUGUUGAUAAAUAUAUUUUGAGCAAAUAUUAUAAUUGAUUUAUUUCAAUAUCUGUUGCAUUUACUUGCGUAUUUAUUUAUUUUUACUCAUGCCACAGUUGACCUAGUGGUGUACUUCGCCACUCUCGGCAGCUUACCUACUGGGAACUAUUGUUUAAUAGUUCUCACACCCUUUUUGUUGUUGUUUUUACAGAGCCUUCCACAGCGGGAAAGGCUAGGGUUCCUGCCGAGGGGUCAGCGGCUAGCUAAAGCCUUCUUGACGUUAAAUAGACAACCCUUAUAAGUUUAUGCAGUUUUCUUCAGUGUUACAUAUUGAGAUCAUGUAAAUUGUACUUUACCCUUAUCUGUUGUAAUAGAGUUUUGGGUUGUAUAAGUUUAAAUUUCUAGUUAUGCUCUGAUUACCUAGUUAAGUUAAGAUUUUGUUGCUACAUUGUUGAUUCUCUUUGUAGACGCCUAGUGUACAUUGGGGUAGUUUGGUGUACACGGCGGGUCUGUGCACGUUACUGUGAGCUUCCGCUGAAGUUCAGGGCAUGACAUGUUAUAUCCGGGGACGACAUCUCGGUGGACCCAAAAAAAGUUGAGGCAAUUAAAGAUUGGCCUCGCCCGACAAGUAUAGCGAAAAUUUAUAGCUUUCUUGGACUUGCGGGCUACUACCGGCAGUUCGUGGAGGGGUUUGCUAAGAUAACUACACCCCUAACGCGCCUUACCCACAAAGGAGUGAGUAUGUUUGGAGCCUCGAAUGUGAGCGGAGCUUCAAGGAGCUAAAGGAAAGAUUGACAUCGACCCCAGUGCUUGCCUUGCCAACGCCCGGGGAGAGCUAUGUAGUGUACAGUGAUGCUUCUUAUAUCGGUCGCGGAUGUGUUUUGAUGCAAAAUGGCCGAGAUAUAGCUUAUGCUUCGUGUUAGUUAAAGAGUUAUGAAAAGAACUACCCGAUUCACGACCUCGAGCUAGCGGCGGUUAUCUUCGCGCUAAAGUUGUGGAGGCAUUACUUGUACGGUGAGCAUUGUGAGAUUUACAUGGACCACAAGAGUCUCAAAUACUUGUUCACCCAGAAGGAGUUGAAUAUGCGACAGCGGCGGUGGUUGGAAUUACUAAAGGACUAUGACGUCAUUAUUCUAUACCACCCCGGGAAAGCAAAUGUCGUGGCCGAUGCUUUAAGUAGAAAGUCAGCAGAAAAUUUGGCAACGGCAAUUACACCCCAACCGGCAUUGUAAAAAGAGAUGCAACGGUUAGAACUUGAAGUGGUGGCACCGGGAGUGGUGGCGCUGGGAGUGCCAGCAACACAUGCCACGUUGGUUGUGCAACCGACCUUGUUGGAGAGGAUUAAAGAAUUGCAAACUUCUGAUUCAUAUCUCCAAAAGAUGUGGGGUGAAAUUGAGAGCGGUAGUGCCGAUGAUUUUGGCAUUGGGACCGACGGCACACUACGAUUUAGAAGUCGUUGGUGUGUACCUAAAAACGAUGACCUACGGCGGGCGACUAUGCAAGAAGCGCAUCAAUCUCCCUACAGCAUACAACCGGGCGGCACUAAAAUGUAUAAAGACUUGAAGCUACAUUAUUGGUGGUCGGGCAUGAAAAAGGAUAUUGGAGAGCUUGUGGCGCAGUGCUUAACGUGCCAACAAGUAAAGGCGAAACGUCAGUUUCCAGCGGGGAAGUUGCAAAGCCGAUCAAUACUCGUUUGGAAAUGGAAAAAUAUCGCGAUGGAUUUUGUAACCGGUAUGCCAAGAUCUCAAGCCGGGCAUGAUACAAUUUGGGUAGUUGUGGACCGGUUGACGAAAUCGGCACACUUUUUGCCGAUUCACACUACUUGGUCGGGAGACAAGUUAGCUCAGGUAUAUCUCGACGAGAUUGUGAGACUUCAUGGGGUUCCGGUGUCAAUUGUAUCGGACCGAGACCCUAGGUUCACAUCUCAUUUUUGGAAGAGCUUGCAAGAUGCAUUAGGCACACGGCUUGAUUUUAGCACGGCAUUUCAUCCUCAAAGUGACGGUCAAUCGGAGAGGACUAUAUAAAUUCUUGAGGAUAUGCUUCAGGCGUGUGUACUUGAUUAUAAGGGCGGAUGGCAUGAUUAUUUACUGAUGGCGGAAUUCACGUACAACAAUAGCUAUCAAGAAAACAUCGCGAUGGCGCCAUUCGAGACCCUUUAUGGAAAGAAAUGUCGCUCUCCAAUACAUUGGAGCGAUGUGGGUAAGAGAGUGGCUCUUGGCCCCGAUGUGGUGCGGGAGGCGGAGGAGAAAGUUCGCCUUGCCGGACAACGACUUGCGAUGGUGCAAUCUCGGCAAAAGAGUUAUGCCGACCAGCAAAGGAAAGAUAUAGAGUUCGCGGUUGGAGACCGUGUAUUCUUGAAGGUAUCGCCGAUGCGAGGAGUGAAACGAUUUGGAGUCGGUGGGAAGUUAAGUGCCCGGUAUGUUGGACCGUAUGAAAUAUUGGAAUAGGUCGGCGCGGUAGCGUACAAACUUGCAUUACCACAGAGGCUUGCGGGAGUGGAUAAUGUAUUUCAUGUGUCAAAUCUCCGCAAGUAUGUUUUCGACCCCAAGUAUAUUCUCUCGUAUGAACUGUUCGAGCUUCAAGAGGAUAUGACCUAUGAGGAGUUCCCGGCAUUCAUCGUCGAUCGAGAGAUGAGAAAACUACGGAACCGUGAAAUUCCAUAUGUUAAAAUUCAUUGGUGUAACUACGACGAUCGGGAAGAUACUUGGGAGUCCAGCUAUCCUUAUGUUCAAUGCCAUAGUGUUUCAACUACACUAAGUUCUUAAGUCGAUGUCAAGUGUUUUAUCUACACUAGUUUUCAUGCCACUCGUCAUGUAUUCACUAACAUCCAUAUGCCACUCAUCAUGUUCUCGGAUAUAAACACUAAGUUUAUCACUUGUUUAGCACUAUAGGGCUCUAUGUCACAUCACUCUAUUCUCAUGCGUCCUAAGUUCUCAUGUCAUGUAACAUAUCGAAACCUUGGUAGAGAUUAUCGAAUUUUAGCCAAAAUUGGUUAAAGGGCCGAGAGAAAUGGUUGGACAAGUUCCAUUUAGUAUUCCAACAGUGUUAGAAGGGUUAAAGAUGAGUUUAAAAGAGUUAGAAAGGUUUUUGCAUUGAUUGGAGUAAAGUAGAAUCGAAACAAUGCGAAAAACUGCAGUCUGGGCAAAGUGUACCGGUACAACAUCAAUGUUGUACCGGUACAAAAUGGCUGACCAAGAGAAGGCUGCUCUCGGGUUUGCUCUCUGCGCGAUCGUGUUACCGGUGACAGGUUGAAGUGUACCGGUACACUUUGGUCUGGCAGCAACAAUAAGGUCUGUUGCAAAUACAAAUGUUUGUGGGGCUUUGUUGCAAUUGUGGCAACCUAUAAAUAACCCAACCCCUCUCCCCUUCACAACAAACACUCCAAACCAUCUCUCCCUCUCAUUUCCCUCUUUCUCUCUCUAGAGACCUCACUCUAGGGCAAGGAGUUGAAGGAGAAGAAGACAUUGAAGGAGAUUUUUGAAGGAUUAGAGGACCUAGGAGCUCUCCAACAAGGUGGACCUUGGAGGAGCUUGGGCUAAGGUGAGUUUUAUGCAAGAACAUUUCUAGGGUUUGGAUUUUACCCUUAAUCUUAGUGUUUUGGACUUCUUGCAAACUUAGAAACCUUUUUGAGACAUGAGCUCCAUGAAAAUCCAUGGAAGCUCCAUGUGCUCUCAUGGUGGUCAUCUAGGGAUCAUGUUAGAUGCCCUAGGAAUGGUACAAAUAGGUUGGAAAUGGUAUUAGAGAGCUUCCUAGAUGAUUUUAAGCUAGUAUUUGCUUAGUUACAAGAUCAAUCUAGAAAAAAUCCAUAUAUGGCAUUGUUAGGGCACCAAAUUUGGGGCUUUUGCCUCCGAUCGUUUUCGAGAUAAAUUGACCUCAUAAAAAUCUAAUUAGGGGUAUUUCCGACGCAUUGGUGCGCUCGGUUCGGGAAAACGAAGAGUCUAUGUAAAGAUAUUUAAUAAAAAGCCUAAUUUGGCACUAUUUUAGUACAGAUCGCCGCAGCAUGCGGAAUAGGAGUCUAAAAAUCACGAGAAUCGAACCCCAACUCCUCUACUACUAUUCGAGGUGGGGAGUGCGCUCCGGAAUCGUUGGAUUCCCUUCUAUGUCUAUCUCACCUUUUAUUUGAGCAUUAUGUCAAUAGUCAUUCAUGCAUAUUAGGGUUAAUUACAUGUGAAAGAUGGUUGGAUUUCAAUUACAUGCUUCUAACGUAGAUGAACAUAGAGAUUGAUAUGAACCAUAGUGGACAUGUUUGUGGAACCUUAUACUUGUGUGAAUGUGAGAUUGAGACUAUGAUAAUGGUAAACAAAGAUGACAUUGGCAAUAGAUACAAGAUUGGCAUCGAGAAAAUGAUAGUUAAACAAGGUUUAACCAUUAGUGGCAUAAUGACAAGAAUAACCUAGAAAUGGCAAAUAUGAUAAGGUAGAAACCUAUCAUUGGUUUUGGCAGUGCUUAGGGUCCCUCGGGUCUUGCAGUGCUUAGAGCCUCCUCGAACAAAAGGGAUUUCAGGUUGUGAGUUAUUUGGGUUAACAUGGUUAACCUGUCAUGCCCCAGGGCCAAUUUUUAAAAGCCCUUUUAAAAUAAAUACGAUAUUUGAAAUCAGAGUUGCGAAAAAUGUGCCCUUUUUUUUUUCAACCUGGCCCCUGAGACGUAUAGACCCGCCACAAAUACAAAGUUCCUCUGCGUACUCGAAUAGAGUCUCCUUUGUAUUUUCACGGCGUACCAACAGCUACAUCAGGAUCUCAACCACAACCUACAUUUACCAAUCAACAACCAAUCAUGCUAUGCAUUUCCAUACAGCUAGUGAUCCUUAGAAAUUAUGCAUGCUUCUAAACACUCCUUAGGCGCUGGAUGAUGCAAUGCACAAUACAACAAGCAUCCUAUUUAAAAGUGCUCCCCAUCCGGAAGCUUUGUUUUUAAACUCUAUUCAUUCAUUCAUAAAAAUUAUUUGAAAACCUUUUAAAACUGUUUCCCACUCGAAAACUCCAUUUUGAAAACCGACUACCUCGAGGGGUAGAAAACCACGAUGUAUAAAUACACAAAUUCGAGAACUAACUAUCCAUAAAACCAAAACCACAAAUCCAUAGCUCUAGUUGCAUGCAAUGGAAAACCAACUCAACUAGUUCUGUCACGACUCGAGACCGCUACCAAUUUGGUCCGGUUUGGGCGCGUCGAACAGACGCCGAGCGGAUAGCACCUCCCCUGUCCGCCCAAGGCUAACCAACCAGAUCAUGUACAAGAAUUUGCCCAGGAAUAGAAAUUCUAUACAUACAUAAUCAACGAAGGACACAACAAGUGUGAACAACUAAGAGCAAGAGUCAUGAGUGCAUACAAGUGAACAAAAGAGAGAUUCACUAGCUAUUACACCACAUUGCAUUCAUUUACAUCAUUUACAUUACAUCUUUCCAAAAUGAAUACAAUUGCUACUAGGUCAUCAUCAAAAUACAUACAUAGCUCUCCAAUCCUCACCUACAUAAGUCUCUCAAUACAUAGGGUAAUGCUAAUGCAAAAUAGGAAAGCUACUAUGUACUACUGCUCGGGCGCGAUGCCCUUGCCGCGGUCCUCGCCCGACGUACUCGUACUAGGCCCUGCAACAAAGUGGGGUGAGAACUAUUGUCCAUAGUUCCCAGUGGGUUUGGCCGCCGACUCCACCGAUCUCCCCACUAGGUCCAGGUGGGCAAAGUAACAACAGAUAGAUAGAUAGAUAUGUAUCUGAAAGCUGUAAAUGCAGUAGUAGGAAAACCUAUGCUACUAUGCCCAAAUCAUGUGUAAUAUAUGCAUGCAUCAUAUAGUAAAUGGUUUACUAACAUGCCACUAUGUCCACUACAAUGUCCAAUAAGCAAAUGUUCGAUGACAGUGCUAUUCUCUUAUUUAUCCAAUCUUUGGCGAUCCCUUAGGUUCGCCCACGACUCACCUCGCCAUCCCGUAUGGUAAGGAGACUCACCUCGCUCUCAAACUCGGGACUGUCUGCGGGAUAUCAACUCUGCCCCUCUCGUACCAUACUCCGGAGUGCACGACGACUUGUGUGGCGCGACCACUACAAGUAUAAACAGACUGUGAGCUUGAUCCAUCCUCUCAACUCGAGGAUACCCAAUCAACUAGGGCUAGUAGUCACUCGGGAAUCCACCUAUCCCAAUGUCCAUGUGUAAGUGUUUAACUACACUAUGUUCUCUGUCCAACGAGUCAUCACUAGGGAGUCCAUCUAUCUAUAAGUUCACAAACCACUAGUGUCACUUUACACUAAGUUAUAUGCCACUCGUUCUGUUCAUUUGUCAACCACAUGCCACUCAUUAUGUCAGUAGGAACCAUCGAGUCCAUCUCAUUUCCUUGGCACUAUAGGAUUCAAUGUCAUGACCCAAUCCUUACCUAUCCAUAAUACCAAGCAUUCAACUCACACUAUGAUAUCAAUUAGAAAGCAUAAGGAAUGGAAAACAAUGCAAUCCUACAAUGCAACAUGCAAGAGAUGUGAGAUCAUGGUAUACUAAGACAUAGAGAGGAACCCGGUUGCUUCGGAAUGACACCACCCACCUUUCGACGAUGUCGGGGUGCUAAGAACGCUAUUCGGCACUUGCUUCAACGUCGCUUCGACCUCCUAGGUGGAAACGAAGCUCGGUCGGUCUUGUUUUGCCGAUAACUUUUCACCGGCUCGACGAAUACUCAAUCUGUCUUCGCCAACGCGUUUAGACACCUAACAAUUAGGUUUAGAUGCUAUCAAUUUAGAUCAAACCUCACUAUUUAACAAAACCCCAAUUUGGAGCCCUAGGUUUGCAUCUAUGCAAUACACCUCAUCAAAGCUCUAGAUUCUAAUAUUAAUCAACUAUUAAGCAUGCUAGAACCCUAACCAAACCCAUUCUAGAGCUAAAAAUCCAAGCCCUAGGUUUCUACCAUCGAAGAGUUUAGAAGCUUACCUCCUAAGCUUGCUCCAAUGGUGAGAGAGGAAGAAGAAGAAGACCAAGGCCUUCUCUAGCUUGCUUCUCCUUCUUCUCCUUCCUUUCCUUCUUCUCCUUCUUCACUUCAAAAGAGAGGGAGAGAGAGAGCUUAAAGAGAGAGAGAGAAAGAGAGAGAGAUGUGUUUGGGUGUGGAAAUGAGGGCGGGAGAGAGUAAUCUCCCAUCUAUACCCCUCACUAAUGUCACAAUUGCCUAAUAGCCCCUCCACUUUCUCUCACACUGCCCAAAUUGGGCAAUUUUCGAGCUCGGGAAUCGGUCUGUCCCUAGAGGGACCGGUCCCUGAGUGUAAGAUAUGAAUCCCGAGGAUCUAAAAGGUAAGUAACACCUAGAGGGGGGUGAAUAGGUGUAAAAACGGCAAACUCGAAAAUCUCGAUGCAAAUGAAACAAAGUAGCGGAAAAUAAAACAGCACAUCAAGAAUUUAACGUGGGAAAACUCCAAACGGAGUGAAAAACCCACGGGACCGAUCACGCGAAGAAAAUUCAUUAAGAAAACUUGAGUACAAGUGAUUUUGACAAAAAUACACGACUCAAUUUAUCGAAUUCCCGUUGAUGGUGAUCUUUGCCGGUCCUCGAUCGAUAGGAAUCCUCCAACCGAUCCUGCUGCAACUCCUUGCAAUGUCAACGCCUCAAUUCCUCGAAGCGUCCACCGAAUCCUCGGCUUCACGCGGGAUCCACGCGCCAAACCUCCUUCCGGAGCUAGUAGAAUCGAAGAUUUGUAGUGAUUUAAUCUUUGAAUCCCAUAAGCUAUGAGGGUUCGUCUUCUAAUCAAACAUCAACUCGAUUCUCGAAUAAGAUCUCAAGUAAAAUCGAAGAACCAAGUCGAAUGUUGAUUUUUUGAAACUAGUUAUGUGAAUAGAAGCGGAAAAACAAGUUUCUAGGGUUUAGAAAUAGUAAAUAUUCAAAGCCUUAAACUUUAAGAUGAUCCCCAUAGCUUAUUUAUAUGUUUAGAAAACUUAGAAGUAGACUAGGAUUGCAAAAAGUCUUUUUUAAAAACAUAUGUCGUCCUCAGAGACCGGUCCUCUCGAGGAGACCGGUCUGUGAGAGACUGGUCUCUCAAGUGAGGAACCGGUCCCUCGCUACGUGUUCAAAAACACAACGUUCGGGAACCGGUCUCUCAAGCUUGAGACCGGUCCCUCGCUGCGCGACAGAAUUACCAAGGUUCGGGAAUCGGUCUCUCAUCUCAGGGGACCGGUUGCAUCAAAACUCACGCAGUGAGGACCUUAGGGGAACCGGUCUCUCCAACUCAGGGACCGGUCCCAGAACACAGAAAAGUUCAGUAAAAUAGUUUUAAAGCAAUCUAAGCCUUCUGAACUUAUUCUAAUUAAGUAUCUUCACCACAAAUGAUCUUAUCUUCAUACCUUAGGUGCCGAACUUUACGAAUGGAUCUUUGUUCUUCAAUUUGAAUCUUUUUUUUAAAAACUUCCGCGAUCAACUCUUCAAGACUCCAUUCAACAUUAUGAAAUUCGCCAACCUAUAAAAUCCUUAACAAUCUCCCCCUUUGGCGAUUUCGUGACAAAAUAUACUACAAUGCUCGUACACAACUUAGAAACAAUGAAAAGAAGAUCAUCGCAAUCACCAAACGAUAAUCUCCUGCAUGGUCGAUCCAAUAAACGAAAAUUACAAUUUUCAUACCUUAACACAGACUCUAUGACUUAGACAUGGAGUCUUGAAGUCUUGAAUUAUUCCUGCAAAAAUAUUCUUAAAACAAAAAUCAAGAUUCAAGUAUACUUAUCAAGAUCAAACAUAAACGUCAAAAUAGUACCAAGUUAUAGUUCAUAGUCAAGCACCUAAGCAAACAUCUAAACUAAAUUUACACAACUAAACACAACUAAACAAAGUUCAACUAAACAAAGUGCAUCAUCUAAGCUAAAUGCGUCAUCAUCAUCUAAAUGCGUCAUCAUCAUCAAGAACUUGCGUCAUCAUCUAAAUGCGUCAUCAUCAUCAAGAACCAUCAUAUCAUCUCCCCCUUUUUGUCAGAAAGCGCCAAAAUGACAAAAGGAGGAACCCCGCAACAUCUAAUAUGAAGCAUCUCCUGGAGGUAAAUCUGCUCGGCAACAUCCUAACUUGUCAAAAAUCAUAUUUAAUAACCGCUUCAUCUUGCUCACAUCCUUCCGUAUCGCAGCUUGCUCCUCAGACAGUUUCUGAAGCUCUUCAGAUAAACGUUGUUGCUCACGAUACACAGAGGAAACUGAGAUAUCUUCCUCUGAAAUGUCCAUAGAAGGACGGGAAGAAGUAGCAGUUGCAGGAGGUGGAGCAGCAGAGGGGAAGAAGCGCGCUGAGACGGAGUACGAAGCUGCACCGAGGACUUCACAAACGUCCUCUCAUUGAUCCGACCCAGGCUGUGCUCAUAAGAUGUACAACGAACAUCCACGUCAUGAAGUUGCAGAAUCCUCAUGAUUAUCAAUGGAAAUGGCAGCCUUUCAUUUUGUCCCGAAGUCUUGAUAUCCUUUGCCAUUCUUCGCCAGAUUAGAAACGGAAUAUUCAUAUUAAUAUUUUUGGCACUUACAAUAUCCGGUCUACCCAAGAGAUACAUGUAUAGGAUGCGAUCCCAUCUCAAAAUCUUCGUGUUUGCAAGAGGCAAAAUGUUGUAGCAAACCACGAAAUUCAAAAACCUGUACUCCAUUUUGAAAUUUUUGGACAUAACCAUAAUGCCAUUUGAUUUAGUACCCGGCGUACAAAUAGUGUUCACGAUACGGUUCCAAUCCUGAAGGGAGUCAAACCCAGCUUGCAGAUACUCCACUCCUCAGUCCUUGCUUCCAUUCCUAGCACAGACGCUAUCAUGUCGGGAGUAAUUGAUAACUCAACACCACAUACGGAAGUAGUGAAGACGUACGGGCCGCCGUCGGAAUCACUCAAGUGACCUGCUCUCAUAUAGAAUUCUCUGAUCAACUCUAAACAGAAACCAGUUUGUUCCGGAAAAUCACAAAUCUGAUGAAGAUUUUCUUUUUCAAAUAAAUCCUGAAAUCCCGGCACACAGCUAAUAAUACUGGCAACGCCAACAUCGCGUUCACCAAUACAAUGCUUCGACGAGUACAUUGACCGUUGAGCAGACGGAACAUCUUGCAGACUGUGACGCGGUGGCUCAGAACCUGGUUCUCGAAUUUCAACACCACCAGACUUGCGACGACUGUCAGAUGCCUUUCCUUUUCCUUUUUCCUGAGCUUUGCCUUUCCCUUUUUCAACAGCUUUUCCUUUGCCUUUUCCCUUUCUUGUAUCCUUUUCCUUAGUUAACACCUCUGGAGAAAAGCCUCCCAGUCCGGCUCGUCCUCCUCAGCCUCAGAUUCAUCACCUGGAGCAUAUUCACUCCCUUCAUCUUCCGGUUGAAGCUCAACCGGCCGUUUAGCCGCGGAGCGCUGACGUUUGCUUUCGUGACCACCCCCAGCCAUAAGGACCACAAGUAUAAGAAUCCACGAGUACAUUUUGAAGAAAUGCCCUGUUAAACAUAAUGAUUUUUACAUAUGACACAUAAGAACACUUAAUUUUUAAUUCCAAAAAUUUUCAGCAAAUUGGUAUAUAAAAGCUAGAUAGUCCUAGGGGCCUCAAGAUCAUGAGAAACAAGAACAAAACAUGCACCAAAAUCAGCCAAAAACAAAUUUUCACAGAAAUUUUGAAAAAAUAAUUUUGAUCAUGAAAAACCUAAAAAAAAUGAACUAAAAAGAUGAAGAAAUGCAAGAAAAGAUGAAAACAUCAGAUCUAAGAACAAGAUCGAAGCAUAAACGUGCAUAAACAGCAAGAUCUCUAGAACAAUCAUAAAAAUAUCUGAAUCAAAGCAUAUUUUUGGAGUAUAUGACACAAAAGCAACAAAAUCCGAAAAUCAUAGCUAAAAUCAGUGCAAAUCGAAGAAGAUCGGGAGUAAUCCCACUCUGGAGACAAGAAAGGAGCAAGGGAGAACGCAGGGAACAACAAAAACAGGUUUGAAGCAGUAAAAAAAAAACAUUACGCGAAAAGCCCUUUAGGACACAUCGAACAAGAAACCCUUUUAUCGGGUCGGGCGGAGGGACUGGUCUCUCCUGCCUGGGACCGGUCCCAGAGCCCAGAAUGUUUUAAAAAUUUAAAAUAAGCACCAAAAAUUCCAGAAAAAAUAUAAGUUAUUCCACAAUAUUCAACCAACAAAAAUAACCAAUUUUCAUCCCCAACAACUUCAAAUAAAAAUUCAUAAAUAAAUUUUGAAAAAUCAAUUUCAAGGAUACUCAAUUUGGCAAAAUUGUUGACCCGAAAAUCAAUUACAAUUCUAGAUACAUAUAAAAUAAAAUUCUACACAUCAUGCAAGACCUAGGAAUUAAUUGUAUCGAUUUAUCAUCAUAUUUGUUAAAGAAAAUGUAUAAAUAAUUCUCAGAAUCGUGAAAUUAAGAUAAUAUUUUCAAAUUGAGUUAUGCACAAUAUUCAAGACAGGAGUGGCUCUUUGAGCAUCUUUUUAUUAACAUUCCACCUUAUAUCACCUACAAGAUGUAAAACUCUUUGAGCAAUUUUUUUUUUUUAUCUCGGAGAGGUACUUUCCUUUUGUCUCAUGGAGAUACUUUAAUCAACACGUGGUAGCUGCACACACUUACCGGACGACCGGGGUGGUAGCUCUUUCCUCCAUGUGGUGGUAGUUUUCACACUCCCAGCAGGGAUGUAACUCUUUCCACAUCUUGAAUUUCAGAAAUUUUCAUUACCAAAAUCGAAAAAACUCCCCCUAAAUUAGUUCAUCUUAUAACGAAUAAUCAAACAAACAAUUGCAACAUUCAAAGUUCAAAGCAUGAGGUGUUGAAUUUGAUUUAGUAUGCUAAACAGAAUUUCAAUGAUUUGAUCGUUCAAAAAUUAUGACAAAAAAGAACAACCUUGACAGUGAUCAAUCAAAAAUUAAAUAUGAAAUAAUUAAAAUCACAGACCAAUUCAUCUCCCAAAACAACAACAUUAUUUAAGAAAUUCAAUCAGCUCUCAAGCAUAAUCAGGAAAUACCGGAAACCAUGCACAAAAACAAAAUGCAACAUGCACAUGACUUAUAGCCCAAAAGAGUAUAUCUAGAUUGAAGAAUUCAUACCAAUUGCCUUUCUUAAAUGCAGAAAACGUUUUUGAUCCAAAGGUUUGGUUAAAAUAUCUGCAAGUUGAUUUUCAGACGAAAUAUAUUCAAGUUGUAGGAUGUUUGAUUCAACCAGUUUUCUUAAAAAGUGAUAUCUUAGUUCAAUAUGUUUUGUUCGAGAAUGUAAAACAGGGUUUUUAGAAAUAUUUAUUGCACUUGUGUUGUCACACAGAAUAGUAAGGGAGGUGGAAGGUAUUCGAUAGUCGCUCAGUAAACUUUUCAUCCAAAUCAAUUGAGUAGAGCAACUCCCGGCCGCAAUGUAUUCAACUUCUGCAGUGGAAAGAGCAAUACAGUUUUGUUUCUUACUGUGCCAAGCAACCAGGCAGUGUCCAAUGUAGAAACAAGCUCCACUUGUACUUUUCCGAUCAUCUGCGGAGCCUGCCGAGUCAGCAUCUGAGUAGCCGAUUAGAUCAAGGGAUGUUCCUAUAGGAUACCAGAGUCCAUAUGUGGUUGUAUCUUUAACGUACCGAAUGAUCCUUUUAACUGCUUUCAGAUGAACUUCCUUAGGGUUAGCUUGAUAGCGAGCACAAAUUCCAACAAUGAAAGCAAUAUCUGGUCUGCUCGUAGUUAAGUACAAUAGGCUUCCAAUCAUGCUUCUGUAUUGUUUCUCAUCCACACUCUGUCCUUCCGAAUUCAUUCCAAGUCCUUUGUUAUUUGUACCCAUCGGAGUGUCAAAAUCCUUUGCACUGUUCAAUCCAAAUUUCUUAACCAAAUAUUUCGCAUAUUUGGAUUGACACAAGUGAAUUCCAUCUUUAGUUUGUUUAACUUGAAGUCCAAGGAAAUAGUUAAGCUCCCCCAUCAUUGACAUCUCAAACUCACUUGUCAUCAAUUUUGCAAAAUCAUUGGCAUCCUUAUCUCUAGUUGCCCCGAAGACUAUGUCAUCAACAUAAAUUUGUGCCACAAUGAAAUCAUUCUUUAAGUAUUUUACAAAGAGAGUUCUAUCUGCUCCCCCUCGGUUAUAGCCCUUUUCCAAAAGAUACUUUGUCAAACGCUCGUACCAUGCUCGCGGAGCCUGUUUUAGUCCAUAAAGUGCCUUUUUCAGUCGAAAAAUGUGAUUUAAAAAUUUUGAGUCUAUAAAGCUUUUCGGUUGUUCAACAUAAACUUCCUCUUUUAAAAAUCCAUUUAGAAAAGCACUUUUAACAUCCAUUUGAAAAAGAGUGAUUUUAAAAUGACAGGCAAUCGCGAACAAGAUACGAAUUGAUUUAAGACGGGCAACCGGGGCGAAGGUUUCAUCAAAGUCUAUUCCCUCAAUUUGUAAGUACCCCUAAGCAACAAGUCUCGCUUUGUUUCGAACAAUAGUACCAUCCUCAUUUUUCUUAUUCUUAAAGAUCUAUUUGGUACCUAUUAUGUGCUGUUGCUCAGGACGUGGCACCAAUUCCCAUACAUCAUUGCGAACAAAUUGACCAAGUUUUUCUUGCAUGGCAUUUAUCCAAUAUUCAUCACAUAGAGCUUCGUCGAUAUUCUUUGGCUCGAUCAAAGAAACAUAACAUGCAAAUUCACAUUGUAGUUGACUUCUUGUUCGCACACCAACAUUAGGGUCUCCAAUUACAUUCGAUAAAGGAUGAUCUCUUGACUCCGUCAGGGGUGUAGUGUCAGGAGUGAUGCUAGGGAUUUCAGAUGACGUGCUUUGAGGCUCAGAUGAAUCAUUUGAUGCAACAUUUUCAGAAGAUGCAGUGGAAUUAUCAAGUGCAGAAACAUCAUCAUUCACAGGCAAUACAAACGGAGAAUCAUUAUCAUCAUCAUUCACCAAGGAAGUAGAAGAACCAUUCACAGAAAAACUUACAGAAGAAGCUUCAUCUACUUUUAUAUUGAUAGAUUCUAUCACCGUCUUAGAUCGUAAAUUAUACGCACGAUAAGCACGACUUGUAGUAGAAUAACCAAGAAAAAUCCCUUCGUCACUUCGAAAGUCAAAUUUUUCAAGAUUUUCACGAUCCCGAAGGAUAAAACAUUUACUCCCGAAGACACGAAAGUAUUUAAUAUUAGGUUUCCUACCAAGCCAAAGUUCAUAUGAAGUAUUCAAAGUACCCGGGCANGGCGCACGCGUUCGGGAACCGGUCUCUCCCCGGGAGACCGGUCCUCGGGAGACCGGUCCUCACCUGAGAGACCGGUCCCCGAGAGCUUGAUUUUCAGGACUUAGCCAAUUUUGGCAUCUCACGCUGGGGCCACGUUCGGGAACCGGUCCCUCACCACCAGGGACCGGUUGCAUCGCGCAACCCCGCAACACCCAGCCGAGGGAACCGGUCUCUCACCUGCAGAGACCGGUCCCCGAGAGCAACUUCUGCCCAAUGAUGCCAUUUGCCUCAUUUGCUCUCGCGGACUCAACUCCAAGGCACUUUUUGUACUUUGGAUAUUCUCAACUCCCACAAAGGGUAUACUUUCGACAAUUAGUCGAUCCUGGAUGAAGUACAAUCCUCGCAUUUCGAGAAUUCACUUCCUUACACUAGCCAACAAGGCUUAGCGACCACUCACAGAGCAAACAAACACUGUCGGAAGAAAUCUGAAGGGAAACUGCGUUCUUUCGGCGAAUUUUGCCGAAAAACGCACCGAAAUCGACUUUCGAUUUUCGCGAAGGCUAACAGACCUUGGACAAUCAGUCCAGAGGUCACCACUCACACAUACACACUGCCCAUAGUUGCCACAAGGUGCACAAAUGCACAAAAGGACUAACCAAAGUUCUGCGAACAGCGCGCAGUCUGGGAAAAUCGCGCCGAACAGGACUAACCGAACUCUGUUGAUCCAAAGUGAGAUGAGCAUUGUGAUCAGCACUGAACAACGAUCACCGUGCUCACCUCCAGUGGCAUCAGGACAGCCUCGGAUCACCGAAAAAGUGUGCGCAAUCCCAAAACAGCAGCCAAAAAGGCCCUAACAGGGCGACACCACUAAAACAGCUGAACGGAGCCUUCCCGGCAGAAACUAAGGUAAGCACGAUGAUCAGCAAUUUUCCACGAUCAUCGUGCUCCCUUCCGCAAAGAUCGGGGAUGCUCGGGUUGCUCGGAAUAGCAAACAGCCAAGGAAUAGCCCUAUUUCGGGCUUGGUCGGAGCAAGCUUGCUCCGGCCGGCUUCCGGCGGCACGGCGACAUGCGCGCUGGCCAGAGGUGGGUGCGGGGGAUGGGAGGAGCAUAGUGCUCACCUAGAUCGGCGGCGGGGAGCGUCGGUGUCGGCGGCGACGGCGAGAUGACAAGAGACAAGCCCGCACGUUCUAAAGCUCGGGUUCUAGAGCAGCUGCGGCCACAGCGGCGGCCGGGGCACCUCAGGCCGGCGGCGGGGGGUCGCCUGAGGUCGACGGUAGGCGUCACGGAUGGCCCCGGGCGGCGGCGACGCGAUGAUGGAGAUGGAAGGUCUGCUCGGCCUGAGCAGACCUGGGGCAGCUACGGGCUGGCCGAGGCGGCGACCAGCGGGGGUGGUUGCAUAGGCUCCGGGGAAGGUGGCCGGGGUUGUAACACACUGGACCUUUGCAAAUUGCGAGGUUCGAGUGUUUGGAUGUGUUUCGAGCUUUUCCACACUUGGUGGAGGGUCGUAGAAUGUUUUCCGACCUAAAAAGUUCGAAAACUGGAAUUCUGGAUAACUCCUGAGAGUUUUUACUCUCGGGGACCGGUCCCUGGAAGGAGAGAUCGGUCCCCCAGUGAGCAGUGCUGCGGCAGCCCUGAGGCAACCGGUCCCUGACGGGCGAGACCGGUCCCCGAGCGCGUCUUCGCAAUGAGAGACCGGUCCCGCGCAGGGAGAGACCGGUUCCCGAACGUUGGUUUUUCGGGUUCGCAGCGAGAGACCGGUCCCUGCUGGGGAGAGACCGGUCCCUCUGGGCGAAAAAUGCCCAGACCGGGCUGAUGCAAUAUUGGAUUUUUGGAGGGCCCAGCUGGAUUUUGUUACAAUAGAGGGUCUAUAUGACCCCUCCACCCUCUCUUCUCCUCAUUUCUCUUCUCUCAACUCUCUCCACACCCUUGAUAGAGAAGAAGAAGAAGAAGGAGAAGGAGAAGAAGGAGGGAAGGAGAAGAAGUUUGGAGUUACUAGUGGACUUGGAGCACCUUCCUCACCCUCUCAUCUUCCUUGGUGCUUGAAGGCUUGGACUUGGAGCUUGCAAAGGGGGAGAUCUUCAUCCUUGGAGCUUGGAUUGGAGCUUCUAAGGAGGUUUGUUGCUCAUUCCCUCCCUUUAGACCUUGGAUUUGAGGUUUUAUUGUAUUGGAACCCUAGAAAUGAGAUUUAGGGUUGAUUUUGGGGCUUUUUGAUCUAGGGCUUUUGAGGCUAGAUUAAUUGGUUUAGAACCUUCCUUGGGCUUGGAUUGGAAGGGUUCUAGCUCUCUUUUGGAGCUUUGGAAGAGAUUUCUUCUCUUGAGGUGAGUUUUGGCCCUUUUUGCUUCUAGGUUAAUGUUUGAUCUUAUGGUUGGUCGUAAUGCCCUCGUAUCUCUUCGCUGAUCACUUUUAGGGUACUUUGAGACUCGUGGACAACUCCGUUCGACGAAUCGAAGGAGCACGCGACGGUUCGGUGGGUUUGACCUAGCCUAUGAUAUGAGAAAUGCUCAUAUUUGGCAAAUAUGUUUCGUAAAAUAGAAAUUCAUGCAUUUCCAUGUUAAAUGUAUUUAAUAUGAAUUUUAGAAUGCUUAACAUGCAUAUAUUAUGUAUAGUAAAAUUUUGGGCCUCUUGUAGUAGAGAGCAUGCAUGUGGGAUAUAGCAUUCUGGUUGAAAUUUGAAACUAAGAUCCCUAUUAUGAAAAUGAACAUUGCUUUCAUGCAUUUAGCUUAUUUACCAAUUGCGACAUUAGAGAUUUUUGGAAGCCUAGAGAGGCUUGAGGACUUAGACUAUUUGAGAGAUUGGGCCAAUUUCAUAAAGAGGCAUUGGGCCCGGGCUAAGUGAACCUCGCUAUUAUUGGUUUAAUUGGAAUAUGGAACAUGAAUUGGGCAUGAUUAGUUGUGAUGCUUAAGUGUCAUAAAGAGGCACUACGCGAGGGUGUGCGUUGGAGCGUCACUUUGAGACUUUGGACUAGAUCCUUGGGAUGCUAGUGGCCUUGCCAUGUGAGAGGCACGAGAGUAGAGUACUUGAGACUUUGACCUUGCUUGCUUGCCAUUUGUGCUCAUUCGCACAUGCUUGUGAGGGUCGCUCCCUACAAGCCGGCACUCCGGAGUUAGCCUACGCGACCUAUGUUCGCUCGUGCGGUAUUGAGAAGCCUACGGGGUCGAGUGGGACAGACACAUUCCAAGAGUAGGGAUGUUGGGCUACCACAGGCACUUAGGCGGCACAAGCUGGACUACCUUGGGUAGGUCCUUAAAUUGGAAAUGGAAAUCGACACGGUGUUGAAUAUGAACAAUCACUACUAGAUAGGAUUAGUAGUUGGAUUACUUGGACACGCUUAUGAUAUAGCAUUGGUACAUUUAGUAUACUUGCCGGUUUCAUUAUUGCAUCGUAGUAUACUCGGUUGUUUGGAUAGAGUUUACCCUUAUGCAUUGACAUAUUGCAUCGUGAGGUUUACUUGUUUAUUAUGUUGAGACAUAUUAGUAUGCAUCGGAUAUAUUACCUUAUGAUAGCGUAGAUGUACAUCACCAUGACAUCAUGCUUAUUGGAGACAUAGUAGUAUAGCAUUUCAUUCAUGCUUUCUUUCAGCAGUUUUCGUGUUCGCUAUUUAUUGCAUAUUACUAUAUGUCGUUACUUACCCUUUUCUUUUGGGGCCUAGUGGUGCAAUGAGCUGAGGUCAGUAAUUGCCCACUGGGAACUAUAAAUUAUAGUUCUCACGCCCUCUUUUUCUCGAUGUUUUUCAGAGCCUUCCACUCAGGGUGAGGCCAGGGACCGCGGGAAGGGAGUUGCUUCGAGCUAGCUUCCUACGAGGACGACUUGCUAGGUGGUCUACCUCUUGUUGUGCUUUAUUUUGGAGAGGUUGAGAGUUUUGCCAGUGUACUAGAGACCGCCAUUUUUGUAUUAGAGGCUGAUAUUGUAUAACUUAUGUCUACUUUUAUGUAUUAGUUAUGUUCUAUUACUAUUAGUAUAGAUGUUAGAACUUUACUCGCUCUGAUAUCAUUAGUUGCUUGUUAUUUCACUUCUUUUAUUUGUUCCAUUCCUUGCUUUUACUUCCGCUUUUCUUGUAGACGCCUUAUAUGUGUAGACAUAUGGCGGGUCUGGGCACGCUACUGGGAGGGCCUCCGCCGGUCCCGGGGCGUGACAGGGGUGGUCUCAGGCGGCGGCGGCGGGAGGGAAAGGAGCUGGGGCUACCUCGGCCUGGGCUAGGCCUAGCUAGCUGCAGGGUGCAGUAGCGGCAGCGGUGACACGUGGAGGCGACGCCGGUCGGCGGGGAGGGACGCCGGGGCUCCGGGACGACGCCGGCGAAGGGAUAGGAGGCAAUACAGCCUCGGGCCUCUUCUCAACCCGAGAGAAGAGAGGGAGAGAGAUGGAGAGGGAGGAAGAUGGUGGCUGCGGCUGCGGCUGCCGGCCGGGGCUCGGUCGGCGGCGGCCGACGCGUGCGCGGCAGAGCAGGGGAACAGAGGUGAAGGUGGCAGGGUGCGGCUAGGGCAGCUGAGGGCUCAACUAGGGUUAGGAUUCCAAGAAAAACCCUAGAAAACACUAUAUACAAGUCGGCUAAAAUGCAAAUAAGCCCUCCGAAGAUGGUUAAUUUCAACCAAGCCCUCUACAGCGCGAGUGAAACGCGUGAAUACACCUCCACAAUCAAAUUUGCGCGAAACGGCACAUAAAAUGUCGCAUCUUUCGCAAAAAUGCCGCUUUGCCAACUAAUACCCCUCAUCGAUCAACGCGCGAUAUCCGCAGAUCCGUCCGUCAGAUUUGCGAACGGAUCACGCCAGUGCGAUCAGCACAAUGGAGACAAGAAACCCGCCAUUUCGUUUCGCCUCGAUCAGUCGCGGAUUCACGACGAACCCCGCUCUCUCACCAGAAAGAAAAAUGACGCACAAAUACAUAUAAAACAUGUAUUUUCAGAUUUUCUCGAAAUCCGUACGUCAAAACCAAAAUCCGUCAGUACCAUCGGGUCUAGAAUAGCUGAACCAUUCAAAACGAGCUAUUGGACCGCUAUGAACGGAAUCCGAUACGCGCUCGAAACCAACUUCACACCGUGGCUUCUCUAGAAAACUGAGUUACCAUUCACUUUAAGUGAAACCUGGAGCUCGCGUAAAAUCUUCGUUCUAACUCGUUUUCUCCCGAAACUUGACGAGUGCUUUUGUAAUUAAAUUACACAUAAAAAUAUCGUCAACAGAGAGUCUAACUAUACAAUCAAAUUUUAGUCCUUACAUAACCGGUAAGAUUGGAUAAAAGCCAAAGAAAAAUUAUGGAAAAAGUAUGCAUGCAUAAUCAUCCUUUAUUUGAUUAUAUAUCUACUGACAGUUUUUUUGCAGGCAUAGUAUUAGCAUUAGUUUGGCUACUAUUUCUCUUUCUUUGAAAUACUUAUGCCUAAAUAGACCUAGUGGGUAAGUCGGUGAGGUCGGUUGCUGAACUCACUGGGAACUUCGUUGUAGUCCUCACACCACUAACCCUACAGAUCUGAGCGCGAGUGGGGUGGCGGAGAAUCGAGGCAAGGGUAUUGCACCAUCGCUAGUGACCACCGGAGUACUUGCAUAUAGUCAUUCCCUUUUUGGUUCAUGUAUCAACUUUCUUUUGUUGAUUUAGAAAUGUAAAAGUUGUAAACAUUCAUGUAUUUUGGGAGAAUGAUUAUGAUAUAAAAAGAUAUUAUGAAUGAAAGGAAAUGAAUGUAAUAGUUUUAGUUACUAGUAUUUUGUUUAAAUGUAAUCAAAUAUUUUGUAUGGUUGUAUGUUGUAGCUUAGAGCUUUCGCUUCCGUUGUUGCUUGCCCUCGUGCAAGCCUUAUAUAAUUGCAAAUCUCUUUGUUUGAUUGCUUAAUUAUACUUGAUGCUAGAGCCUUGGGCAGGCAGGGGAGGCCCUGUCUGUUCAGCGUCUGUUGACGUGGCCCAAAUUCGACCAAAUUGGCGGGGAGCGGGGCGUGACAUGUCAAGCCUCAAUGCUACAUAAACCCAGGAAGCAUGCAAUAAUGGAAAUGCAACUAUCUCCUCACCCUAUCAUGCAUAAUGCUAAUAUGUGAGAAUAUGAUCAACAAUGUAACUUAGACAUAGAGGAAAGCCCAACUGCUUCGGGAUGACACCACCUACCUCUUAACGAUGUCGCGACUCUAAACUCCGAGUUUCGCGAUUUUAGGACGUCGCCUCGGCCCUCCAAACGGAAACAAAGCUCAAACUGUCCUUCUUCUUCGAUAUCUCCGCGCAACUCGUCGGGUUGCCGAACCGAGUUCACCGGCGCGAUAGAAAACCUAGCAAUUAGGGUACAAGAGAUCAAUUUCUACUUUGGACCCCAUUUGGACAAAACCCUCUUUGGAACCCCAGCCUACAACUAUUGCAAGAAAACACAAAUACAACCUUAGAUUCAUGCAAUAAUCAUCUAUCUAGCAUCAAAGGGUUUCAUAAAAAUCAAUCCUAGAGCAUAUAAAGCUAACCCUGGAGAUCUACCAUAAAUGGACCUCAAGCUUACCUCCAAAAGCUUGCUCCUAGGUGAAAAUGAAGAAGGAGAAGAUGUUAAUCCUUCUCUUUGCCUUAAUCUCCACCAAUCCCUCUACUCCUUCCACCUUUGAGAGAAAGAGAAUAAGAGCUUUAGAGAGAGAGAGCUAUGCUUUAGGUUUAGGUUGAAUAAAAUGAGAGAGAAGAGAGAGGAGUGCCCUCAAGUAAUCCUCAUAAUGCACAAUUGCCGAAAACCCCCUCAACUAUGCAACUUAUUUAACUGCCCAAACUGGGCAUUUUUCGGGUACGGGGUCCGGUCUCUCUCUAGAGGGACCGGUCCCCGAGAGCAAAUGUUGUGCGUAGUAUUAUUCUGCCACUUUCUGUGCAUAUGGGAACCGGUCCGUUCUGCGAGGGUCCGGUCCCCGAGAGCACAAAAAUUCUACAAUUUGCAGGAUUUCAUUCUCUUGCUCUCCAAGGCCCUCUACAAUACAUUAAAGCCGCCUUGGACGCCUUUGGCCUUUCCGAAGCGUCCCGAACUCGCCUUCGAUCAAUUUUGAUCGAAGUUCUAGAUUUACAUAUCGAGUUUUCAUUUCCUUACACCUAAUCCGUGGAGAGCACAGGUAGAGCUCCUCUCCCUUGGAUUUCUCUCUUUUCUUGAGGUUUUUUUGCUUGGUUUGAUCUCUCUUUUCCUCUUAUCUUUGCUUCAUGUUUGAUUUUCACCAUUGGAGAAGCCUUGGAUUGGAGAGUGGAGUUUUCUUGAGGAUUAAUCUUCAACCCUAGUUCAUUUUAAGCUUGGAUUGGAGCUUGUGAAGAGGUUAGUGCCAUAGAUCUUCUCUUUAGAUCUUGUUUUUGUGGAAUUUUUGAGAUGGAAACCUAGAUGAGAAAUCUAGGAUUUUUAUUGGGGGUUUUUGAUUUGUGGCUUUUGGGACCUAAUUGAUAGGUGUAGAACCAUCUUCUAAGUUGGAAUAGAAGGGCUCUAGCUUUCAUUUGGGAUUUGGGAAGGUUUUUCACCAUACAAGGUGAGUUUUGCCCUUUUCUUGGGGUGGUUAAUGUUAUGCUCAUGUAGUGUUCGUUCAUUGCGUCUAACCCUCUUAGAAUCUUUCUUAGGGAGCUAGGAGACUUGUGGAUAUCUUCAUUAGCACAAACGAAGGAAAUCCGAGGAGUUCUUGGUGGGUUUGACCUCACCGAAAUGAGUGAACUCCCCUUAUGUUAUACUCUUUAUUGAAAAAUGGAAAAUCGUGCAUAAUCAUGUUAGAUAGAGCAUAUGUGAAUUUUAGAAUGCUUAAAAUGCAUACAUUAUGUAUCAUGAAAUUUUACCUCUAUGUAGUAGAGAGAUAUGUACAUAGUAAUCAUGCAAGUGAGGGGCAUUCUUUCAUGUGGCUUGAAAUCAUGUUUCAUUUAGUAAAAAUGAUAAGUAUAACAUGCUCUUGUACUUAGAAUUCAUGCAUGACAUAGUGGACAUUAACGUCAUAAAGUGGCAUUGGACUUGGAACAUAUAUUGACAUAGUAAACCAUAAUGUCAUGAAGUGGCAUUGGACUUAGUAAACGGCUAAACUUUCACUCUAUGACAUAGAACUAGACUUCUGGGGUUGCUAGUAUUUACACCAUGUUGGACAUGAUGACCGGGUCCUUGAGAUGAUGAUCAUGUUUGCUUGCCAUUGGUGUUCAUUCGCAUAUGCUUGUGAGGGUCGCUCCCCACAAGCCGGCACUUCGGAGUUGGCCUACGCGACAUAUGCUCGCUCGUGCGAUACUGGGUAGCCUACUGGGCCGGCGUGGGAUAGGCUCAUUCCUAGAGUAGGAAUGUUGGACUACCACGGGCAAUUAGGCGGCACAAGCUAGACUACACUUGUGUGGGUCCCGAGUUGAGAUUGGAUAGUGACAUUUAAACCAUUAGUAUGACAAUCACUACUUGGUAGUAGAUAGUAGUUGGAUUCUUUGGAUAUGUUUUGUGCAUACUAUUGGACAUUUGGUGACAUACUUGGACACAUUAGUAUACUUGAUAGACUUGCUUGGUGCAUAGUAGUAUCCUUGUUGGACAUGUUUUAGAGCUUAUUAGUAUACUCAUUGGAUAUACUCAUUCAUGAUAGAAUAGUAAUACACUCGACGGACAUCAUGCUUAAUUGAGACAUAGUAGCUUAGAAAAAUUAUAUUUGUUAACUAUACCUAUUGUUUUUUUCAGCUUCUUGUUCUACUUUUGCCUCUAUAGCCUAAUGGUGUAUUUCGCUGAUGUCGGCGGCUUACCCACUGGGAACUAUUGUUUAAUAGUUAUCACGCCUUCUAUGUUGUUGUUUUUAUUUUAGAGCCAUCCGCACUGGGAGAGGCUAGGGAUCGUGGCAAAGGGGUCGCGUCUAGCUCGAUAGCGGAGUUCAUUGCUACUUGGUGGUUAUCUCUCCUUUUGUAUAGUUGGAGAGAGUGAUUUUUGUACCCGUUAUAUAGAGACCACCCUUUUGUAUCUUGUUGUAUCUUUGUGGAUCUCUUGAUGUACCUAACUUUUGGAAUUAUUGAUAGUUGUUUAGUUGCAUUUGCUUCCAUUUGUUAUUAGUAUUUUAGAUGUUCUCAUGCUCUGAUAUCGCACUAGAUGUUUUAUCUUCUUGCUUUCAUAUGUUAUUGUUGUAAACGCCUUAUAUGUGUAGGCAUAUGGCGGGUCUGGACACGCACCGGGCGGGCUUCCGUUGGGCCCCGGGGCGUGACAUAAUACAUGUAUAUAUUCUCAAUAAAAGGGAAUUAGACAUAGGGAGAAAUCUAACCAUACCGGAUAGCACCACCCACCUCAUAUCGACGUCAAGAAGCGAGAAAUUAAGUCCCGCAAUUUACCGUUGCCGUUUUAGCUCGACCCAAGCCUAACAAACCAAAUUCCGCAAAUCUCUCAAUCGGACGCUGUAACCUCGUCGUAAUCCAAAACGAAGUUGUCCUCCGCGUCGAAUUAUCCUUCAAUUAAGGUUUUACAAGAUCAAUUUGAUUCAAAACCUCUUAGAGACAAAAGCCUCAAUUCUAACCCUAGAUUCAUGAAUCCUCAAGAACACCAAAAUCCAUAAUAAACCUUUAACCAAUCUAGUUUAGAAUCAUCUAGGGGUCCUAGACAUCUCAUUUACAAAAGAUUUAAUCCAAACCCUAGCUUAAAUCACAAAACUCACCAUGGCCAUCUUGGAAAAGAAGCUUAAUCCACCAUUGGAGAGCUCCUUCAAGCUUCUUCUCUACUUGACAUUUCCAAAAUCUCCAUUUCUUUUCUCUUUAAUGGAGAAAUUACAAGAGAGGUAGAGAGAGAGAUGUGAGGUGUGAGCUAGAGGGAAAGAAAGAAAGAGAGAAGGCUCUCCUUUCUCUCUCUCUCUCUCGGGUUGGACCAGAACAAAGGGGAGAAGGCAAUUGUUACACACAUUGGGCCCCUCAACCAUUACAACUUACAAUUUAGUCCUGUUCAGAUCUGAUACUUUUUGCCAGAGCCCUUCUAAAUAUCUGUUUCUUCUCAAAUUUGACAGUCAGGCUCGGUUAAAAUCAAUUAGAAGAACGUGAUCUUAACUUUUUAGUUUUGAACCAUUUUUUGUCACCGAAAGCUCUACCGAUUAAAAUCUCUAUCAGAUAACAGUUAGAUUUUGUUUUCCAUUUUUUGGGUGUCGGAAUGACAUGAAACUUUAAAUCUAGCCUCAGAAAAAAUAAUUCCGACAUAUUCUCAAAUUUUCUUAAUUUUCUGACACUGUAAAUUUUUUGCUAAAAGAUUAGACCCGUUCCUCACAGAAAAAUUCAAAUCUUCUGUUUCCACUCCAAUUUUAGCACAAGUCACAGUCCAAUAAAAAUAGUAUCUUACACUAUUUUUAUUUACACAUACUUUUAUAUUAAAAAUCUGGUACAUUACAUACAAUCUCUUCUCACUCUCUCUUGAUCUCUCCCAAACUUGAGGUUUUGGUGGAGAAGGAGCUCGGGAACGCGUAGAGAGCGGUGGAUCGACCCCUCGGGCACUCGGUGGUUCAGCGCGCCUUCGCCUCGAGGUUCAUGUUUGGUUGAGAAUUUAGGGUUUUGAGUUAUCCCUUUAAGAAUGAUGUUCUAGAGAUCCCUAGAUGAUUCUAAACUAGUCUAACCUAGAUUUCUUCAUGAUUUUGGGGUGUUUUGGAGAUAUGGAAAACUAGGUUUUGGAAAUUGGGGGUUUUGCGGUUUAAGGGUUUUGAAUCUAAUUGAUCUCCUAAUUCUCUAAUCGAAGGAUAGAGGAGAGCCUCGGACAACUCUAAGUUGGAAUUCGGUGAGCGUUCGGUGGUCGAUUGCGAGUUCGAGUUGAACCAGGCGACGUGUGCCGCGGGAGCCUUAUUGCAAGUGUUUACAAGCAAUCAGAAGUGUUGUGAGGUGGGUUGUGCUUCACCAAGUGAUUAGGUCACUUCCAUGCCAAAGAGUGAAGUAUGGUUUUGGUAUUAUUGUUGAUGCAUGUAAUGGUAGUUUAAUUGCAAUUAUAAAUGCAUGAGAUAUAUGCUAAGUUAUAUAUUGACUACCAUUAGACAUGGACAUAGGCAUGAGCAAACAUAUAGGAUGGGUGUAUAUGUAUGUCUAGAUGUGUAACACACUGGACCUUUGCAAAUUGCGAGGUUCGAGUGGUUGGUCGUGUUCUGAGCUUUCCCAGAUUUCUGGUAGGUCGUUGACUGUGUUCCGACCUAUGGCACAUGUCCCGAGGAGUGUGGUACGAAGCCUUGCACCAAAACCCAAAAAUUUGGAUUUUGGUCAGCUCUCGGAUUGGCUGUCUGGCGGGCUUGUACCGGUACAAGGUUGUGCUUGUACCGGUACNUUUCCUUCUUUUAUUUGUUCUAUUUCUUGCUUUUCUUCCGCUUUUAUUGUAGACGCCUUAUAUGUGUAGACAUAUGGCGGGUCUGGGCACGCCACCGGGAGGGCCUCCGCCGGUCCCGGGGCGUGACAAGAUGUGAAUAUUGAACUUAGGUCGAUGAACUCUAGGAAGAUUAGAGAACUCGACGAGUGUGGCACCAAGGACUAAAUGGCAUGAAAACUAUGAAUCCUAGAUAUAGAUAACUAGGAUAAUAAGUGGUAUGAUUCGACAUGAAACCCAGUGUCAUUGAAUAUAGGUGGAACAUUGAACCUAGAGUCGGGUGGACCUAGGUUAGUAAGGACAUUGGACCUAGUGUUGUAGAAACUAGGUUGUGAACAUAGUGGUAUUGAACCUAGUGUUAUUAAACAUAGGUUGAGAAACAAAGUGGCAGGAUGACCACUAGGAUAUGAAUGGUUUGAACCUAGAAAGGUUGACAAGAUAGGGUACAUGAUUAACCUUUGAGACUUGGAAAGUGGAUUCCGGAAUCUCUAGGAUUGGUGGCUGCGAGUACGUGUGGUUUUCCUCGCUCGGCAGCAGAUGAUACUUGCGGGUAUAGGCAAGUGAAUCAUAACUGCAGGUAUGUGUGGUUCUCCUCGCCCGGCAGUGAUUCAACGGGUAUGUGUGGUUCUCCUCGCCGGUAUGCGACUUGUGGUCAAGGGUUUGAUGGUAUUUCCUCACCCGAUGGAUGACCUAUAGAUGAGUGGAUUAAAAGCUGAGGUGCAUGUGAGGCUUGCCUCCCCUCAGGCCUGAAUAUGAGCGGUAGUCCGCUAUUGAUUGACUCGAGAGUGAAUCGGGUGGUUAGCUUGGUUAAGGUAAGACAAACCUUAGGAGCAAAUGGUAAAUGGUAUGGAUUAUGGAAUAGAAAGUAGAAUCAGUGGAUCUACUUGCAUUGGUUGCAUGAGUUGCAUUGUUGCAUUUCUAUGAGGCAUAAGCAUGAUAGCGGUUAGUUCGGAUCACCAUAAAAACAUGAAACUCUUCAAGUGCAGCGUCGUGGAUUCGACGUGAUCGAAGGCGGUUCGUGGAUUCGGAUUGUGAGCUCGUGGAUUCGAGUGGUGUUCGUGGAUUCGGACGUGUGUGUGGCGUUCGUGGAUUCGAACGUGAGGGCAUGAACAACCCAGAGGCUUGCGCAAGAUCCAUAGGAGGUUAAGAGAGGUCGAGUCUGUGGAGUCGAUAAUCACCUUGUAAUCUUUUCUGUUAGUGGAUUAUUUUUUUCGCGUGUUGGUCUCGUGGGUUAUUCUCCAAACUGGAGUUUUUCCACGUAAAUCUCGAUGUGCUAUUUUUAUUUUUUGCAUUUAUUUUUUAUUGCAUUGAGAUUUGCGAUUUUGGGCUAUAAACCUAUUCACCCCCCCCCCCUCUAGGUGUGAUAUUAUCUAGAUAGAUCUUAGGGUUUCAUAACCUACAAGUAGUAUCAAAACGGGAUCUAGAUUUUUAACUAUCAUAAUGGGAGAAGGCGGUAACAUUAAUAGACCACCACUCUUCAAUGGCACAAACUAUUCUUAUUGGAUAACAUUAAUAGACCACCACUCUUCAAUGGCACAAACUAUCCUUAUUGGAAAGUUCGCAUAAGAGCUUUUCUUAUUGCCAUCGACAUGCGAGUGUGGCAAUCUAUUGAAUUCGGAUGGAAGCAUCCCACCGAAAUCAUCGAUAAUGCUACCGUCCCCAAACUUAGAAAUAGAUGGACGAAAGACGAAAAUGAGUUAUCUUCGUUCAACAGAAAGGGUAUAUAUGCUUUAUUUAAUACAUUGUCACAAACCUAGUUUUCACGCGUCACGGCGUGUGAAACGACAAAAGAGAUUUAGGAUACUCUACAAAUUACACAUGAGUGUACAAAUCUAGUAAAAGUUCAAAAGCUCCAAAUGUUGACAAGUCAAUUUGAUUCUAUUCGAAUGGAGGAGCACGAAUCUUUUACUGAUUAUUUACUAGACUUCAAGACAUAAUCAAUACAUGUGCUAAUUUUGGAGAGAAGAUCCCAUAAUCGAAAAUUGUUAGCAAGAUUCUUCGAACUCUUCCGGAAUGCUUUAGGGCAAAGGUGGCGGCAAUCGAAACCGUUAAGCAUCCGGAUGAGAUGAAAGUAGAAGAAUUAGUAGGAGCUUUGCAAACGUAUGAGAUGACUUUUCCUACUAAUCAAUCUUUUUCCAAGUCUUCUUCUAAAAGUACAGGUAUUGCACUCAAAUCGACAAAGGAAGAAGACAUGGACUCAGAAUCCGACGGAGACAUCUCUAUCGCGGACUUUGAACAUCAAUUGGCGCUCCUAACUAAGAAAUUUCGUCGAAACUUCCGGAAGAACAAAUCCAACAAAGCUUCAUCUUUGAAACAAAAAUCUUCUUCUAAAGAUUCUUCAAGUUCAAAAUCAAAAGAAAAGAAACUUGCAAAACCUUCUAAAGAAAAAGAUGUUUUUGAAGGGAAAAUCCAAUGUUUCAAAAGCAAAGGCUACGGCCAUAUUUCCAUGGAUUGUCCCACUAAGAAAUCCUACAAACAGAAGGCUUUGCAAGCAAGAACUUGUGAUGAUUCUACUUCGAGUGAAUCAAUCUCAAGUGACGAAGAAAAGAAUGAGACUGUUGCCUUGUUUACACUUCUUUUCGUUUGUCUUCUGUUGUUUGUUUAUCUUCUAUUUUACCUGACUCCGCUUCUUUGGUUUUGCAAGAAACAUCGAGCGAUGAUAAUGAAAGCAAAGAGGAGUCGGAUGAAGAAGAUCUCACCGAGGGUUGCCAUCAACUUCUUAUUGAAUCAAAGAAAAUGGCUAAGCAUAAUAAGAAGUUGAGAAAGAGAUUAUUGGAACUUGAAGAUGAGAACAAAACUUUGAAGACCACCAAUAAAGCUCUUGAGGAGGAAAGGGAAUCGAUUUUGAAGAACAAUUCGGUCCUCCAAGUGAAGCUCGACCAAUCGGUGUUAACGAUCAAAUCACACCAAGACAAGGUUGGUUUUCUAGAGCAACAAUUCGAAGAAACUCAUGCAUCUAACCAAGUUUUGACUAAACAAGUUCAUCAACUCAAAUCCAGCAUUCAAAAAUUUUCUUCCGGAUCAAAGAAGUUGGAUCAUAUGCUCGGAUUGGGUCAGACCAAUAAACUUGGACUUGGAUACGAGCGGACUUAUGUUGAGAAGGAUCAAAAGGAAAAACAUAAAGUCUCAACACCUUUAAAGGAGAAGGUGUGCCAUAGAUGUGGAAUCAAAGGACACAUCAAGAAGAAUUGCCCUAAGAAGAAUAAGAAGACUCAACCGGCAACUUCGAAAUAUUUAUCGACAUCUUCAAAUACUCGACUUCCCCCAUGGAUUCAAAAGCAACAUCAAUCAAGUCGAAUACCUCAAAUCAACCGAAAGUCAAAGCCACAACAUCAAGCUCAACCAAAGUCGAAUGCAACAAGAAGACCAACGGUUGAUCAAAAGUCAAAACAAACGGCACCUAACGUCGACAAGUCGAGAAAACCAACGAUUCGACAAGUUUGGAUUCAGAAAGGUGAUAUCCUUUCUUGUCUUACGUCUUAGUUUGUUUUUGAUUUGUGUAGUGCUUUGAUUGGUGUUUAUUACAUAUUUUAUAAUCAUUGCAUUACAUGUUUGAUUGGUGCUUGAAAUUUAUUUUUGAAAUCUUUUCCGAGAAAGGUGAUUGGAAAAUUAAAACUUCAAAUUUUCAAGAAAGGUGAUGUUUUGAAAUCAUUGAUUUGGGAAAAUUAAACUUUCAAAGUGUCGUGAACAUCUUAAAAUUCAUUCAUUUUGAGUUAAGUUCAUAUUAAUUAUCGAUUUUACUCCACUUUUAUUAUUUUGAAUAUAAUUUAUUAUAGGAAUUCUUAAUACAUAUAUUCAUCAAAUUUAUGGAAUCCAAUUUGAUCUAUUAGUGAUUAAUCUAUCUUGGUUGUGCGUGUUGAAUAUAAUGAAUAGUUAUUUGCUAAUAGACUAAAAUUUGUCAAACUUUCUUUUAAAUGCGAGAUUGUCUAAUUUAGGGGGAAUUUCAAUUAUUAAAAAAAAUAAAAUAUUGAUACGAAAAAAAAAUACUCCUAUGUUUAAAAGAUGUGGAAAGAGUUACAUUCGAAAGAAGUGUGAAAACUAUUGUCACAUGUAGGAAAGAGCUACCACCCUGGUCGUCCGGUAAGUGUGUGAAGCUACCACAUGGAAAUUGUUUGAAUAGCCGAAAAGGUUGAAAAAUAGUAAAUAUUUUAGAUUUUUCGGAGUUAUAAGGUGGUAUAAUGAAAAGAUGCUCAAAGAGCCACCCUCGGUGUUGUAUUAGCUAAAUAUCAAUUUUGAACGUUUUGCGACAAAUUGGUGUCAAUUUUGCCAAUUUCUAUAAGUCGUGUUUCAUGAACUAUUACAUUUUGAUAGAUUUUGAACCACUAGAUUAUUUUUUGUGACGUAAUUUUGAAGUUUAGGUGAAUUAAGAAAUCUUGUAAUAUUUUAUAUUCAUCAUGAUAAUUGUGGAGUACAAUUCUUAAUUUUUGUGAAAUUAACUUAAUUUGAAUCAAUUAAAUAUGGAAAAUUUGAUUUUCUGGCACUGGGUACCGGUACUAGGUAUUGGGUACUGGUACGAGGCAAACCGGUACUGUUAAACUUGAGUGUUUAAAAACUUGUUUUUGAACUGGGUACCGAUACGCGGGUUCAUGUACCGGUACGAGGUCUGCGGAAUUAUUUUUAAAUACCGGUAUUGUGUUUUAUUUUUCCUCCAAUACUUCAUAAAACUCUUCCUUUCUCUCUCUAAAAAUCCCCUAGCAUCUUUCUCACCCGGAUCUACAAGUUUUCUGCAGAGAUUUGUAAGUUUCUUCUCUAGAUCUGAUCUUUUCAUCUUCAAAACCCUCUUUUUUUAAUUUUUCGAACGAUAUGUUGGGUUGAAGAUCGAUCUCUAUUUUUGAUGAAAUGUUGUCACGCCUCACGACCAACCGCCAAUUUGGACCGAGUCGCGGCGCCGACGACAGACCACCGAACGGAUUAGGGUUUCCCCUGUACGUGGACAGAGUCUCCCCUGUACGCUCUAGGCGUCGCAAUCCAAACAAUCAACGAAUGUUCCAACUAGGAACGGAUAUUAAUCCAGAUUGCAUAAGGAAGUAUCAAAUACAUAAAACUACCUGCUAUAACAAGCAUUCAUAUAAUACAUCACAGUUUCAGUUUACAAUUUUCUUCCAAAUUACAAUCUAGUUAUUACAUUGAAUACAAGUUGGUUGUUGUCAUUUCAUUCUAACCCCUAGGCCCUGCUGACUCGGGGUACUGCUACCUCUGGUCACUGUGGUGGGGCGCUCUCUACGGAGCUACGCCCUUGCCUCGCGCCGCCGCGCCGCACACGUACAACCUGAAAACACCCCAAAACCACGUGGGGUGAGAACCAACUCCAUGGUUCCCAGUGGGUACGGCCACCCAAGGGAAAA